rnacentral:lncRNA from 1 species
UAUAUAAGGAGGGGAACGAGCUUUGUUUAUAGCACAAGUGAAACUCCACUUUAUUGAACGAUGGGGUCUCAAAUGGGCUGCCUCUUUGCCACUCUUUUGGUAGUAUCAGUCUCUCUUAGCUACUUGCCGAUAGAAGCCUCCGCAAACAAAUACUACUACACAUCUCCUCCCCCUCCCAAGUACAAGUCUCCACCACCACCCCCGCCACCGGUUCACAAUUCUCCACCACCACCCCCGGUUUACCUGCCCCCGCCACCUCCUCCACCAGUCUACGUGCCUGCUCCGGCACCAACUCCAAUUUUCCCUUCUCCGCCACCUCCUGUCCCCAAGUCCCCACCACCACCUCACCCUUACGUCUAUGCAUCUCCCCCUCCUCCUUACUACUACUAGAAAGCGGCCAUGAAUAGCUCAUGCUUUUAUGGUAAUCUCAUUUAUUUUUAAAACUGUACAUGUAAAGACUAGUAGUUCAGAAUUACAUUAAGCAUUUCAAUUUUAAGCACCGUGUUCUGUUUAAUUGCGUUCCUAUUGAUUAAGUGACAAAUAAAAGAGAUUGAUUAAUUUGUUCUUGUAGGAGAGGCGAAUGGUAUCCGAAUAAAGAAAGCAAGGGUUUGAUGGAAGGCUUACUUGGAGCAAGAUAGCGAUCAAUCGAGUUGCUGCGUUUUAUUCUCUUUUCUCUUUGUUUUUUAAGAAAAAUAAACUGCCACACGUAGAAACAGAAAAUUAAGUUCUUGUCAUUUUCAUGCAUGUGGAUUGUUGCUUUGUGUGUCAAUCAAAUCUCCGUUGUGUCAUUUGUAAUUUUCAACCUUUAUGCAUGCAAAUGCGAGACCUCUUACGUAUAAUAAAAUUAAUAUACUUCCCAAGAUGGUCUUAUCUUGCGUUGACUUUUUACGUUCCUUUGGUGAUGAUUUUAACGUUUGAAAUUGAUGAGUAUUGUUUUUGUAAACUCUGACAUGGAUUUUUCGUGCAACUAAAGAGCGCAUUAAUGAGAGACUUAUCCAUGAGGGUCCAUGCAUAUCAGUGUCUAAUUAACCAAUAAUUAAUAUAACUUAAAAAAUAUAGAGUUAACAAUUUUUAUGGGUCAGGCUCAAUUGCAGAUGUUCGUACAAAAUUUCUUGCUAAUGUAUACUUGAGUAUGAUAAUAAGUUUUAAUCAUUAUUAAUAAUUCACUUGACAAUAUUAAACAAAUUUUCAUAUCAAUUAAGUUACAAAAUUUCUGUGACAAAUUUCCACGUACUGGAACCAUGCAAAAGGACUUUAUUCAAACAAAGCUGCAUAGCCGUUGGCAAUUAAAAUUAUUUAUCAAUUAAGUUAAGUAGUAAGAAUUGGAUUGUGGAUUCCAUUAAUUAUUUCAAGGAAAAUUUUAUAGAUAAUGCCGUAAUGAAAUUUACGGCAUCAAUACCAUGAUAAAUAUAAAUAUUGUAAAUUACAAAGAGAAUUAGUAAAGGUAAAGUAAAACCAGUAAAUUCAUAAAAGAUUAUUAAUUAUUUAAAAAAUUAACAUUGUUUCUACAUAAUUUUAGUGAAAAAUAUUUUAUUCAUUUACAAAAACAUUUCUUUAAUUAAACAAAAAAAAUUCAUUAAUUAAGCAAAAAAAUUAUACUGAAAAAAAAAAGUGGAAUAAGUUUAAUUGAAUUGGUUAUCAUAAAUUCUAUAUUUAGUCUAGGACAUUUGUAUACAUUUUUUUUCCCAUUUUCGAUAAUGAUAUCUAUUUGUUACACAUGUUAAUUAAGUGCAAUUAUUUAUCUUGAUGUGGACCAAGUAAAAAAAAAAAAAAAAAGAGAUAUCAAUAAAAUUAGAUCUAGUUUUGAAUAUUAUGUAUACUUUAUGUAGUUUCAAACUUUUUACUUGUAUUUGGAGACCAUUUAAGGUUGUUGUUGAAGAAGUGUAGAAAGAUGUAAAAUAACUUCAUCUUACAACAACUAUGAAAGAUAUUAAAAUAAUAUUUUUUUCAAAAUCCGAUUUUGAGAAAAAAUUUCAUCCUUAAUUAAACAUCACAUGUAUUAUAGAAAUGAAAAACUACCAUUGUUAUAUUUAAAUUAAAAAAUAAUAAAUAUAUAAGGUAAUAAACAUUAUAACGAGUUUUUAUUUUAAAAUUGUAAACUUUUGUUUCUGACAAUAACUCUUAUAUUAAUUAAUUUAUUUUGCAUUUUAUUCAUAAGUUUUAUGCAUAAUCUACAAACUUUAUGUUUUAUUUUGCAUUUAAUGUUGAUUUGGUUUUUUUAUAUUAUACGUAUAAGUUUUCAUUUUAUUUACCAGUAAUACAUCAAUUUAUCAGUUUUAUUGUAAUUUACUUAUUUUACCUUCCUUUUACAAUUCUUAUGUUUCAUUUUCAAAAUUUAUGUUUUAUUUUACAGUUGUUGAUGAUUUACUAGUUUUAUGUUAUGUUUGCAAGUUUUUGUUUUGUUUACUAGUAAUAGAUUAAUGGGUAAUUUUUAAUUGAGUCCUCAUUAGUUCUAGAAAAAAAAUUCAGAGACCAGAAGUUUACUAAAUGAAUCAAUUAAAUUCUUUCAAGUACAAACUAAUGUCAUUCAAGUCCUUAACUUAAUUGCUCAGUUAAAAAUAUUAACAACAUUGAGGACAUUUUAGUAAAACCACAAUUGAGUCGUUUCUCAUUCUUUAUUUUUGACAGGUGGAAAUAGUUUAAAGUUAACUCAAUUAACCUGAUUAAGUUAAGGAUCAGUUCUUUCAAAAGAACAAAAAAAAGACCUACAGAAACUGCCAUAUUCUUCGUGUGAGAGGAGAGAUCGAGAGAACGUGGGAUGGUGCAAAAAAUGUUGUAUAAAUCUACUGUGAUUUUGACCAAAGCUUUGGUAGCAUUGAUUGAGUUCAAGUACUGGAGAGAACCUGAGUUUAAAGGUUAGUAACUCUAUUUUUUUAGUGAUUUCCGCAAGCAUUUUCUGAUAAAAAAAUUUUCCAUAUUGAGUGAUCGUUGUGAAAAAUUAAGUUUUUCAAGUCUAUUUUUGAAAAUGACAAACUAUGUUUAAUUAUUGGUGGAUUCUUUUUUUUGUUCAAUAUUGUAUUUUGUUAAUUUGUUGUUUUUAAUUUGCUCUUUAUGUAAUUGUUAGACCAAAUACACCAUUAUUAUACUUGUAUUCAUUUCAACAAUUUGGUAUCAUUAUAUUAAUAAGAUUGAAUUCAUUGUAUUUGCUUCUUUGUUCAUGUAAAAUUGAAUUCUAUGUAUUCUUAUGAGUGAUAAUUUUUCUAUCUAUUAGACUAAAUUCACUAUAUUCACUACUUUCUUUCUUUUUGCUGGGCUAUUUUUUCUUUUUAGUUUAUAUUUUUUAUAUGUAUUAGAUUGAAUUUGCUUUUGUAUGUUUUUUUCGCCAAAUUGCAUGUAUAUUUCAUUUAGGUUGAGUUUUUUUUGUUGUUUGCUAAAUAAAAGUAUAUUGGUUUAUCCUUUUUUGAGGCAAUACUUUUGUUUAAAAUUAAUACAGGUAGCCAUGUUACCUUUUUUUCGGUUAAAAUUAAUGGGGUGAUGUAUGCGAUAGGAUAUAGGGAACCAGAGGAAUAUAAGAUUAUUAGGCUGUUUCUUGAAAUUCAAGAUGUCAUGGUUAAGCAUGGACACAUUGAAAUGGAUUUGAUUGAAAUUUUUGUUGUAUUGCCAUGGACUACAAGUAGGCAGAGGAAGCUAAUUUCAAACGAUAGUGAAUUGUAUUGGGUUUUCGAGGAGUUUUUUUUAUCAAUAGUUGUCCUGUCAUUGAGUUUGAGGUGCACACUGGGUCAGGUGGUCAGUCAUUUCAUGAAAGUGUUGUAAUAGGACCUGAAAAUCCUGUCAAUAUUAAAAAUUAGCGUUGUAAUAGUGAUAAGUUUGAAAAUCCUGUGGCUAAAAAGGGUUUGCCUAGAAUAAUUGGUUCUUCUUUAUUUGCCUCAAAGUCCAACACUAUGAAAUCCACUAGGAAAAAGAAUUUAUCCACUUUAACCAGCACGUCUUCAAUCUUACCUUCAGGAUAAGCAUGAGAUCUAGCAGCACAUUGCAAUGUCACUGUGGCUGGUCUGACUUCUCCAACUCCCAAUUGCUUGAAUUCUAAUAAUGUCAUAAGAUUGAUGCUUGGUCCCAAAUAGGGAUGACAAUUGUACCCGCAAACCCGCCCAAACCCACCUGCCAAAACCCGCCCGUUGCGGGUAAUUUUACCCAUUGCGGGCGGGUUUAGUAUUAUAAAUUAAAACCCGCGCAUGGAUGUGGGUGGGUUUGGUAUUAACCUUAUAUCCGGUGGAUACCCGCAUGGAUAUCCACCAAACCCGCAAUAUUUUUUUUCAAAUAUUUUUAAUUUAAUUUAAAUAUAAAAAUGUAUAAAGAAAAUAAUGUCAUUAAUCAAAUUACCAAAUAGACAAAGGCUCAAAGUUGUGUAUGUGUGUAUGUGGCCCAUCUCUUAUUCUAAAGUCAUAACCUAAAGAAAACUAAAGGCAUUUCCCUUCGAAUUAGUAUUUGAAAAUAUUAAUCUUAAUUAUUAUUAUAGGCAUUGUGUUGGAUGGGUGCUUAUGGUGGUGAAUGAAAUGAAUAUCUUCUCUUGGAUCUUGUUUUAAAUGAUAAUAUGAAAUGUAAUUAUUAUUUUUAGAUACUAGUUUGUGUUUUUAAAAUGGAUUUGUGUAAUUUAUACUUAAAUUUGAGAAUUUGUAUUGAAUUGAUGUGGAAAUUUUAAUUUUUCAUUGACAUUGUUUAAAUAUAAAAUUGAGUAUGCUAUUUGGAAUUUGAGGUUAUUAUUAUAAAUUUAUAUAUUAAAUAUUUGUGAUUUUAAAUACGAAAACCCGCAAAAAAUCUGCCGGAUACUAUUGCGGGUUUGGUAAUUAUUAAAACCCGCUGCGGGUGGGUUUUUAAAAAAAAAUUAAAACCCGCGGCGGGUUGCGGGUGGGUUUGGUAAUUUAAAUUUUGUGCGGGUUUGGGUUUGAUAAUGGCAAAUCCGCUGCGGGCGGUGCCCAUUGCCAUCCCUAGUCCCAAAUCACAAAGUGUCUUGCCACUGUAUUUAGUUCCUAUGGAACAACGAAUUGUGAAACUUCCUGGAUCAUUCAACUUCUGAGGCAUUUUACUCUGAAGCAUAUGGCUGAAUUCUUGUGUUAGACCAACUAUUUCAAAUUCUCCGAGCCUCAUUUUCCUUGCCAAUAUACAUUUCCAAAACUUUACAUAAUUUGGCAUUUGUUCUAAUGCUUCCACAAAAGGAAUGUUGAUAUGCAGUUAUUUCAAUACUUCCAAGAAUUUACUGAACUGCUUGUCUUGCUUUCGCUUUUGAAAUCUUCGUGGGAAGGAUGGUGGAUGUGUAAAUUGUUGUACUGCAGCAGACUAUACAUAUUGCUUUUCUCUUGCUCUAUUAUGGUAUGUUAUUGUUGGUGCUGCAGCUUCUUCCUCAACAAGCACUGAAUCAUGUUUUUUUUGCAGUUGCUAUAACUUAGCAACUCUCACCAGUGUGCUGGAAAAUGGGUUGUUGUGUCUCUUCUUUAAUUUGAGUUUCCCCUUGGGUUGAAUUAGGUUCCACUCUUCUUUUUAGUACUUUAACAAGUAUAUGAACAUCCUUUCCAGACCUUAAGUUAAUCCCCUUACAAUGCUCUUUUCCUUCUCUCUUUCGAUCCUCUGUAUUGUUUAGUAAAUUGUCCUAAGGUAUGUUGCUCAAUGUUGUAGCAAGCUGUCCAAUCUUAUUCUCCAAGUUUCUUAAAAAUACAGCUUGGCUUUAGACCACUACUUCAAUCUUCACAAUAUACUCCUUAAUCAGAGUUUCAAUGGAACUAAAUUGAUCAUUACUGGUGUUUCUUUACCCUUAAAAUUUCUGGUGAAAAUCAGGUGGCUGAGCAAGUCAGUUCUGUCCACUGGAUGCUGCAGCAUGCUGAUUCUGAUUGCUCCUUUUAAAAUUUGGGUGAUGUCUCCAUCCUAGGUUAUAGGUGUUUGAAAAUGGAUUGCUUUGAUUUUGUUUAUUAAAAUUGCCCACAUAAUUGACGGAAGCUGAAUUCCUAGGACAAUUAUCAUAUAGAUGUCCCUCUCCAUAAUAAACACAAGAGACUUCAGCAAUUUGGUUAACUGUUGUUGGAGCAGUGGCCGUUGCUUUUACCAUAUUUGUCAAUGAGGUUACUUGGGCUGAUAAUGUUGUCAGUGCAUCCACAUUGUGUACUCCUGCUGCUCCUCUCACUAUGGCUUGUCUAGUUGAUGGCCAUUGAUAGUUAUCCUUUCUAAAAUUUCAUAAGCCUCAUUAUAUGAGUUAGACAAUAAAGCCCCUAGUUAUUGAGUUCAACCCAUUGUAGAAAGUUUCCAAUUGUAUGCAAUAAGGAAUACCAUGAUGAGGGCAUCUCCUGAGUAACUCCUUGAAUCUUUCUCAUGCAUCAUACAAGCUUUCAUCUUCAAGUUGAUGGAAAGAUGUGAUCUCAUUCUUCAACUUUGCAUUCUUUGUUGGUGGGAAAUAUUUCAUCAAAAUUUUGUCAGCCAAAUAAUUUCAUGUGGUGAUGGAGUCUGGUUGUAAAGAACUCCACUGUACCAACUAAAAUUGAUUUCACAAAACACAAUAAGCACCAAUCCCUGGCAACGGCGCAAAAAACUUGUUGUCGAUUUUCUAAUGCUAUUAGUGUCAAUGUGAAAAUGUACACAACAAGUAAUAUAACGAUAAGUAUUCACUCCACAAGGAUUAUUAUUAUAGGAAUUGCUACAGUAAUUCUAUCAGUGCCAUUCUUAUUAUAAAUUAGAAUUUUAAACAAAUUAUUCAACUAAUGAACUAAGGCAGAUCUUAUUGGGCUAGUCGGCAAUGUGUUGCUUUAGGUCGUGUGGAAUAGUUGCGGGAGUGAUCUUGCAUGAUGUGUGGAGCUAUAACAGUGCUGAGCAUGGGCCAAUCUAUGGGCUCAUGGAACUAGCGAACCUAAUCUAGAAUUUCGAGGAAGAGUACUCUGGUUAGUACUCUAAAUUACCUUAUUAUAUUUUGCACAAACAGAGGCAUGUUAGUGAAAUAAUAUCUAAGCAACCCAAGAGGGGGUGAAUUGGGUUUCUAAAAAUUAUGCAAUUCUUAAACAAAACUUAAUGCAAAUCUUAAACGAAUUUAAAGUAAUAAUAAAUAAAUCAACCAAAGUAUAAAAAGAUAAGGGAAGAUAGAUUAAAAAACAGAGAGUUUUACGUGGUUCGGCCAACCUUGCCUACAUCCACGCCCCCAAGCACACCGAGCUUGGGCAUUCCACUAGUCAAGCCUUCAAGGCUUCAAGAACACUUACAAUUGACUUCUUAGGUGUCAAUCAACCUUUACAUCUAGAGAUUAUCCUCAAUCUCUUAACCCAAGUGUAUCCCAACAUUUACAAUCACUCAAAAAUAAAGAUUACAAAAUUUAUUUUUCUCCCACACAAUUUUUUAAGAUUACAAAUCAACGCUUAAUGUGUGAAUAAAUGAACAAGAAUAAUUUGAAACUCAAUGAAUGUUGUAUUCUCGAUUAUAAGCUCAAUGAUAACGUAUGUGAUAAGCUCUUGUUUGAAUUUGAUUGAGCUUAUUUAUAGUUAGAGUUGAAAAAUAGCCAUGUUGACUUUUUCCCGAAAUUGGAUCGCCGUUAACCGUUAUCGGUUAACCGUUUUGACUGGUCAAGUGACCGUUGAGCUGAAUUUCAAAUAAACGGUUGAUCUUUUGACAUUAUCGGUUUGCUGUUAAUUUCCAUAAACCUGUAAAACAAAUUUAUGCUAUCCGUUCUUGCUAAACGGUUGAAGGUCAGCAUGGAAUGACAUUCUAGAAAUUAUUGGUUGGCCGUUUGAAGUUCACGGUUCACCGUUUACUUCUAGAAUCACAGUUUUAACCAAAUUUCGCAGGGAAUGCUUUUUCGGUUAAAGUUAACGAUUAUCCAUAUUUCAUGAGCACAUUUAGAAAAUCAUACGACUUUUGAGAAAUUGUUUAGUAAUGAAAAACUCUAACAUUUUAAUCAAAUACAUUUAAAGUUUGUUAUCAUCAAAAUCAAUAUAAUGAACAUCUACAUGUUAACAGUUAGGCCUUGAUUAUUUUUUAAAUCUUAUAAGAUAUAGAGUGAUAAUAGUAACUCAAUUUUCAUAAAACGUGGAAAGAUCAGUCGCCAAAUUUAUAGAUGCCAUAGAAAAUCUAGAUUUUAGUAAGGAAUAUCAAGUUAUUUAUACAAUGAAAAUUGUUAAAACUCGAUUAAUUGCAAGGAAACACUUUUAGAGAGAUAUGGAGAGAAUAAACUUUGAAGAUAACAAUGAAAUACAUGACACUUAAGGAAGAAAAAUAUAAUAGUAUUAAUAGAAUCUAUUUUAACCGGUCUUAAGAUAAUUCAAGAUUGAUGCAAAAUAAAUAACAGGACUCUAAACCGUCCAUAAUAAGUCUAUUGAUUAAUAAUAACAAUAAUAGUGAUGUGAAAUUUUUUAUUCAGAAUGCUCAAUUUAGAUUAUAAUAUCUAUGUGAAAGCAUUGAUGGCAUGUACCUUGGUUAGGAAAAUAGAUUGGACACAUGGAUAUAUAUGUUGGAAGAACAAAUCUAGUUUAUAUCUCAAGAGAGAUAAUAAAUUAUAAAUGACGGUGCUAUAGUAUAUUCAGAUUUUAUAAAUCUUUAUAAAUUUAAUAAUCAUUUAGAUCUUCAUAAUAUUAUAAUAAAACUUUAAAAAACUUUAAAAAUAUAUGUAGAAGAGAUGGAAGAAGAAAUCAUCCAAUUAUUCAAAAUCAAUUAAACAAAAAUAGAAGGUAAAAUCCUUGAAUUAUAUAAAUUAUACAAUUUUCACAGAAAUUUUGCAUAUAUUGCGAAACGGUCCUUGUGGCACUAAUUAUGGGACUAGUGUAGCAUAAAUACUAAUAUUGCUUUUUAUUUUGUAAAUUAAUUGUUGCGUCAUAAUGUUUUUACAUACACAUUUUUGUUUUAAAAUAUGAAUUUUUUUUUUGUAUUUAGGGUUAAUUUUACAAUUUCAUACUUUGUUCAAUUAUAUGUACAGGUCCUUAACGUGUUGGUUGAUGUUGAAUAUUCAAAGAUCCACAAGCUAUCAACGACAACGAAUCAAAUUAAACUAAUUAGUUAAUACAUAAUGACUGGGUGUUUCCUAUGCUUGUUAAUGAUGUUAGGACGUUAUUUUAGGGAUUUUAGAAUUUUAAUUAUUAGGUCUUCUGAUAUUUUCUUUUUUAAUUAAAGUCAGUGUCUUAGUUUUUUAUUUAUUUAUGUUAUAAUUAUAAUUUACUUUCUCUUUUUAAGUUAACUUAGGAAAAUAUAUUUACUGUAUUAUAAAUAAAGAGAUCUUGUUAUUACUUUAUAACUUCAACUUCAGUUAUUCAAUUAAAAACCCCUCUUUUAAAGUUGUUUGAUUAGAGCAUCAUCUAGCCUUGCUAACGCAGUAUUAAAUAUCCCUUUUGAGUUUAAUCACACUUCGAUUAGAGCGUAACUUAAUCGCAUUGACUUGGUCCAGUACUUGAACGAUAUCUAGUGUUUUGCUUCCGCUAUGCCCAAGGAGAAAAUUAAUUUCACCGUGAGAUAAGAGCAUUAAAAGGAAUUCAUAAGAAAUUGGGAAAAUAUCCACCGUCCACUUGAUUUUGUCCACUUUUUUAAAAUACACAAAUCUUAAUUUUUUUGCUGCGCUACACCUAAACUUAUAUUUUUUUUUCACAUUUCCACCUCCGUUUGCAAAUUGUCAAAACGUUGCUGACGUCAUAAGGAUAAAAUAAUAAUUUCACUUGGGCUUCAAAAAACAAAGUCGUUUAAGAUCUGUAAUUUUAACCUUUUCGUUUGAUUCUGGAGUAAGGUUGGCCCUACAAACCGGGCAUGUUCACGUGAGAGGCUAAGUAGACAUCGAUGCAAUGAGGAUGGAACACGUGAUCACAUUUGGAAGUAAACGCAACGUUUCGUCAUCCUCAAACUCGCUUAAACACACGACACAUUCCAGAGCACCUUUCCCAAUUUUCAGAUCCUUCACCGCAGAGUAGACGAAGAUAGGGAAAGACUCGAUGACGGAAGGAUCGAGGCCGCGGUUUCUGGAGACAAUUUAAAGGCAAUUUAACGUUGAGAGAGAUGUCAACGUUAACGUACUGUGUUCGCUGAAGUAGGGAGAGCUUUGCGAGUUACGGACGUCUUGAGAGAUGCAGGUGCGGCAAACUGAAUGAGCGUUUGCUGCUGUGCUGAAGGCACUAGCAAUGGAAGCCGGCAGUUCGGGGACGCGACACAUGCGUUCACAAGUGGGGUUCGUUAAAGUUGGUGGUGAGGGUAUGGGAUUGGGCGAUGGUUGGAAUUCGAACGGAAGGAACCUGUUGACAGCAGUUAAAUCGCCGUUAAAUUUUUUGAUUUCACCGUCUAGUUCGCGACCCACCUCGAUAUCUCCGCUUUAGUUUGUGGGUGGUGGACAAUCUUGCCGUUUGUUUAUUUGCGCUAACUGUUCAUCUUGCCGUUGUUUUCUUUCUCAUUUUAAAAUUUCAUUUUCUGUUGUUAUUGGGACAAAAAUGUAGGAGGAUUUGGAGAAUAUAUGCAUAAUUCAGGGAGGGACAGUGUCGUAGUUACAGAACAAAUUCGAGGCCAAUUAAUGCCAGAGGAAUUGGAUGUGCCGCGCACUGCGAAUCAAUGCCGGAGGAAAUGGAUUCAUUGCUUGAUGAGUACNNNNNNNNNNNNNNNNNNNNNNNNNNNNNNNNNNNNNNNNNNNNNNNNNNNNNNNNNNNNNNNNNNNNNNNNNNNNNNNNNNNNNNNNNNNNNNNNNNNNNNNNNNNNNNNNNNNNNNNNNNNNNNNNNNNNNNNNNNNNNNNNNNNNNNNNNNNNNNNNNNNNNNNNNNNNNNNNNNNNNNNNNNNNNNNNNNNNNNNNNNNNNNNNNNNNNNNNNNNNNNNNNNNNNNNNNNNNNNNNNNNNNNNNNNNNNNNNNNNNNNNNNNNNNNNNNNNNNNNNNNNNNNNNNNNNNNNNNNNNNNNNNNNNNNNNNNNNNNNNNNNNNNNNNNNNNNNNNNNNNNNNNNNNNNNNNNNNNNNNNNNNNNNNNNNNNNNNNNNNNNNNNNNNNNNNNNNNNNNNNNNNNNNNNNNNNNNNNNNNNNNNNNNNNNNNNNNNNNNNNNNNNNNNNNNNNNNNNNNNNNNNNNNNNNNNNNNNNNNNNNNNNNNNNNNNNNNNNNNNNNNNNNNNNNNNNNNNNNNNNNNNNNNNNNNNNNNNNNNNNNNNNNNNNNNNNNNNNNNNNNNNNNNNNNNNNNNNNNNNNNNNNNNNNNNNNNNNNNNNNNNNNNNNNNNNNNNNNNNNNNNNNNNNNNNNNNNNNNNNNNNNNNNNNNNNNNNNNNNNNNNNNNNNNNNNNNNNNNNNNNNNNNNNNNNNNNNNNNNNNNNNNNNNNNNNNNNNNNNNNNNNNNNNNNNNNNNNNNNNNNNNNNNNNNNNNNNNNNNNNNNNNNNNNNNNNNNNNNNNNNNNNNNNNNNNNNNNNNNNNNNNNNNNNNNNNNNNNNNNNNNNNNNNNNNNNNNNNNNNNNNNNNNNNNNNNNNNNNNNNNNNNNNNNNNNNNNNNNNNNNNNNNNNNNNNNNNNNNNNNNNNNNNNNNNNNNNNNNNNNNNNNNNNNNNNNNNNNNNNNNNNNNNNNNNNNNNNNNNNNNNNNNNNNNNNNNNNNNNNNNNNNNNNNNNNNNNNNNNNNNNNNNNNNNNNNNNNNNNNNNNNNNNNNNNNNNNNNNNNNNNNNNNNNNNNNNNNNNNNNNNNNNNNNNNNNNNNNNNNAUUUUUAUGGGUCAGGCUCAAUUGCAGAUGUUCGUACAAAAUUUCUUGCUAAUGUAUACUUGAGUAUGAUAAUAAGUUUUAAUCAUUAUUAAUAAUUCACUUGAUAAUAUUAAACAAAUUUUCAUAUCAAUUAAGUUACAAAAUUUCUGUGACAAAUUUCCACGUACUGGAACCAUGCAAAAGGACUUUAUUCAAACAAAGCUGCAUAGCCGUUGGCAAUUAAAAUUAUUUAUCAAUUAAGUUAAGUAGUAAGAAUUGGAUUGUGGAUUCCAUUAAUUAUUUCAAGGAAAAUUUUAUAGAUAAUGCCGUAAUGAAAUUUACGGCAUCAAUACCAUGAUAAAUAUAAAUAUUGUAAAUUACAAAGAGAAUUAGUAAAGGUAAAGUAAAACCAGUAAAUUCAUAAAAGAUUAUUAAUUAUUUAAAAAAUUAACAUUGUUUCUACAUAAUUUUAGUGAAAAAUAUUUUAUUCAUUUACAAAAACAUUUCUUUAAUUAAACAAAAAAAAUUCAUUAAUUAAGCAAAAAAAUUAUACUGAAAAAAAAAAGUGGAAUAAGUUUAAUUGAAUUGGUUUAUCAAAAUUCUAUAUUUAGUCUAGGACAUUUGUAUACAUUUUUUUUCCCAUUUUCGAUAAUGAUAUCUAUUUGUUACACAUGUUAAUUAAGUGCAAUUAUUUAUCUUGAUGUGGACCAAGUAAAAAAAAAAAAAAAAAAGAGAUAUCAAUAAAAUUAGAUCUAGUUUUGAAUAUUAUGUAUACUUUAUGUAGUUUCAAACUUUUUACUUGUAUUUGGAGACCAUUUAAGGUUGUUGUUGAAGAAGUGUAGAAAGAUGUAAAAUAACUUCAUCUUACAACAACUAUGAAAGAUAUUAAUAAUAUUUUUUUCAAAAUCCGAUUUUGAGAAAAAAAUUUCAUCCUUAAUUAAACAUCACAUGUAUUAUAGAAAUGAAAAACUACCAUUGUUAUAUUUAAAUUAAAAAAUAAUAAAUAUAUAAGGUAAUAAACAUUAUAACGAGUUUUUAUUUUAAAAUUGUAAACUUUUGUUUCUGACAAUAACUCUUAUAUUAAUUAAUUUAUUUUGCAUUUUAUUCAUAAGUUUUAUGCAUAAUCUACAAACUUUAUGUUUUAUUUUGCAUUUAAUGUUGAUUUGGUUUUUUUAUAUUAUACGUAUAAGUUUUCAUUUUAUUUACCAGUAAUACAUCAAUUUAUCAGUUUUAUUGUAAUUUACUUAUUUUACCUUCCUUUUACAAUUCUUAUGUUUCAUUUUCAAAAUUUAUGUUUUAUUUUACAGUUGUUGAUGAUUUACUAGUUUUAUGUUAUGUUUGCAAGUUUUUGUUUUGUUUACUAGUAAUAGAUUAAUGGGUAAUUUUUAAUUGAGUCCUCAUUAGUUCUAGAAAAAAAAUUCAGAGACCAGAAAGUUUACUAAAUGAAUCAAUUAAAUUCUUUCAAGUACAAACUAAUGUCAUUCAAGUCCUUAACUUAAUUGCUCAGUUAAAAUAUUAACAACAUUGAGGACAUUUUAGUAAAACCACAAUUGAGUCGUUUCAUUCUUUAUUUUUGACAGGUGGAAAUAGUUUAAAGUUAACUCAAUUAACCUGAUUAAGUUAAGGAUCAGUUCUUUCAAAAGAACAAAAAAAAGACCUACAGAAACUGCCAUAUUCUUCGUGUGAGAGGAGAGAUCGAGAGAACGUGGGAUGGUGCAAAAAAUGUUGUAUAAAUCUACUGUGAUUUUGACCAAAGCUUUGGUAGCAUUGAUUGAGUUCAAGUACUGGAGAGAACCUGAGUUUAAAGGUUAGUAACUCUAUUUUUUUAGUGAUUUCCGCAAGCAUUUUCUGAUAAAAAAUUUUCCAUAUUGAGUGAUCGUUGUGAAAAAUUUAAGUUUUUCAAGUCUAUUUUUGAAAAUGACAAACUAUGUUUAAUUAUUGGUGGAUUCUUUUUUUUGUUCAAUAUUGUAUUUUGUUAAUUUGUUGUUUUUAAUUUGCUCUUUAUGUAAUUGUUAGACCAAAUACACCAUUAUUAUACUUGUAUUCAUUUCAACAAUUUUGGUAUCAUUAUAUUAAUAAGAUUGAAUUCAUUGUAUUUGCUUCUUUGUUCAUGUAAAAUUGAAUUCUAUGUAUUCUUAUGAGUGAUAAUUUUUCUAUCUAUUAGACUAAAUUCACUAUAUUCACUACUUUCUUUCCUUUUUGCUGGGCUAUUUUUUCUUUUUAGUUUAUAUUUUUUAUAUGUAUUAGAUUGAAUUUGCUUUUGUAUGUUUUUUUUCGCCAAAUUGCAUGUAUAUUUCAUUUAGUUGAGUUUUUUUUGUUGUUUGCUAAAUAAAAGUAUAUUGGUUUAAUCCUUUUUUGAGGCAAUACUUUUGUUUAAAAUUAAUACAGGUAGCCAUGUUACCUUUUUUUCGGUUAAAAAUUAAUGGGGUGAUGUAUGCGAUAGGAUAUAGGGAACCAGAGGAAUAUAAGAUUAUUAGGCUGUUCUUGAAAUUCAAGAUGUCAUGGUUAAGCAUGGACACAUUGAAAUGGGAUUUGAUUGAAAUUUUUGUUGUAUUGCCAAUGGACUACAAGUAGGCAGAGGAAGCUAAUUUCAAACGAUAGUGAAUUGUAUUGGGUUUUCGAGGAGUUUUUUUUAUCAAUAGUUGUCCUGUCAUUGAGUUUGAGGUGCACACUGGGUCAGGUGGUCAGUCAUUUCAUGAAAGUGUUGUAAUAGGACCUGAAAAUCCUGUCAAUAUUAAAAAUUAGCGUUGUAAUAGUGAUAAGUUUGAAAAUCCUGUGGCUAAAAAAGGGUUUGCCUAGAAUAAUUGGUUCUUCUUUAUUUGCCUCAAAGUCCAACACUAUGAAAUCCACUAGGAAAAAGAAUUUAUCCACUUUAACCAGCACGUCUUCAAUCUUACCUUCAGGAUAAGCAUGAGAUCUAGCAGCACAUUGCAAUGUCACUGUGGCUGGUCUGACUUCUCCAACUCCCAAUUGCUUGAAUUCUAAUAAUGUCAUAAGAUUGAUGCUUGGUCCCAAAUAGGGAUGACAAUUGUACCCGCAAACACCGCCCAAACCCACCUGCCAAAACCGCCCGUUGCGGGUAAUUUUAACCCAUUGCGGGCGGGUUUAGUAUUAUAAAUUAAAAACCCGCGCAUGGAUGUGGGUGGGUUUGGUAUUAACCUUAUAUCCGGUGGAUACCCGCAUGGAUAUCCACCAAACCCGCAAUAUUUUUUUUCAAAUAUUUUUUAAUUUAAUUUAAAUAUAAAAAUGUAUAAAGAAAAUAAUGUCAUUAAUCAAAUUACCAAAAUAGACAAAGGCUCAAAGUUGUGUAUGUGUGUAUGUGGCCCAUCUCUUAUUCUAAAGUCAUAACCUAAAGAAAACUAAAGGCAUUUCCCUUCGAAAUUAGUAUUUGAAAAUAUUAAUCUUAAUUAUUAUUAUAGGCAUUGUGUUGGAUGGGUGCUUAUGGUGGUGAAUGAAAUGAAUAUCUUCUCUUGGAUCUUGUUUUAAAUGAUAAUAUGAAAUGUAAUUAUUAUUUUAGAUACUAGUUUGUGUUUUUAAAAUGGAUUUGUGUAAUUUAUACUUAAAUUUGAGAAUUUGUAUUGAAUUGAUGUGGAAAUUUUAAUUUUCAUUUGACAUUGUUUAAAUAUAAAAUUGAGUAUGCUAUUUGGAAUUUGAGGUUAUUAUUAUAAAUUUAUAUAUUAAAAUAUUUGUGAUUUUAAAUACGAAAACCCGCAAAAAAUCUGCCGGAUACUAUUGCGGGUUUGGUAAUUAUUAAAACCCGCUGCGGGUGGGUUUUUAAAAAAAAAAUUAAAACCCGCGGCGGGUUGCGGGUGGGUUUGGUAAUUUAAAUUUUGUGCGGGUUUGGGUUUGAUAAUGGCAAAUCCGCUGCGGGCGGUGCCCAUUGCCAUCCCUAGUCCCAAAUCACAAAGUGUCUUGCCACUGUAUUUAGUUCCUAUGGAACAACGAAUUGUGAAACUUCCUGGAUCAUUCAACUUCUGAGGCAUUUUACUCUGAAGCAUAUGGCUGAAUUCUUGUGUUAGACCAACUAUUUCAAAUUCUCCGAGCCUCAUUUUCCUUGCCAAUAUACAUUUCCAAAACUUUACAUAAUUUGGCAUUUGUUUCUAAUGCUUCCACAAAAGGAAUGUUGAUAUGCAGUUAUUUCAAUACUUCCAAGAAUUUACUGAACUGCUUGUCUUGCUUUCGCUUUUGAAAUCUUCGUGGGAAGGAUGGUGGAUGUGUAAAUUGUUGUACUGCAGCAGACUAUACAUAUUGCUUUUCUCUUGCUCUAUUAUGGUAUGUUUAUUGUUGGUGCUGCAGCUUCUUCCUCAACAAGCACUGAAUCAUGUUUUUUUUUGCAGUUGCUAUAACUUAGCAACUCUCACCAGUGUGCUGGAAAAUGGGUUGUUGUGUCUCUUCUUUAAUUUGAGUUUCCCCUUGGGUUGAAUUAGGUUCCACUCUUCUUUUUAGUACUUUAACAAGUAUAUGAACAUCCCUUUCCAGACCUUAAGUUAAUCCCCUUACAAUGCUCUUUUCCUUCUCUCUUUCGAUCCUCUGUAUUGUUUAGUAAAUUGUCCUAAGGUAUGUUGCUCAAUGUUGUAGCAAGCUGUCCAAUCUUAUUCUCCAAGUUUCUUAAAAAUACAGCUUGGCUUUAGACCACUACUUCAAUCUUCACAAUAUACUCCUUAAUCAGAGUUUCAAUGGAACUAAAUUGAUCAUUACUGGUGUUUCUUUACCCUUAAAAUUUCUGGUGAAAAUCAGGUGGCUGAGCAAGUCAGUUCUGUCCACUGGAUGCUGCAGCAUGCUGAUUCUGAUUGCUCCUUUUUAAAAUUUGGGUGAUGUCUCCAUCCUAGGUUAUAGGUGUUUGAAAAAUGGAUUGCUUUGAUUUUGUUUAUUAAAAUUGCCCACAUAAUUGACGGAAGCUGAAUUCCUAGGACAAUUAUCAUAUAGAUGUCCCUCUCCAUAAUAAACACAAGAGACUUCAGCAAUUUGGUUAACUGUUGUUGGAGCAGUGGCCGUUGCUUUUACCAUAUUUGUCAAUGAGGUUACUUGGGCUGAUAAUGUUGUCAGUGCAUCCACAUUGUGUACUCCUGCUGCUCCUCUCACUAUGGCUUGUCUAGUUGAUGGCCAUUGAUAGUUAUCCUUUCUAAAAUUUCAUAAGCCUCAUUAUAUGAGUUAGACAAUAAAGCCCCUAGUUAUUGAGUUCAACCCAUUGUAGAAAGUUUCCAAUUGUAUGCAAUAAGGAAUACCAUGAUGAGGGCAUCUCCUGAGUAACUCCUUGAAUCUUUCUCAUGCAUCAUACAAGCUUUCAUCUUCAAGUUGAUGGAAAGAUGUGAUCUCAUUCUUCAACUUUGCAUUCUUUGUUGGUGGGAAAUAUUUCAUCAAAAUUUUGUCAGCCAAAUAAUUUCAUGUGGUGAUGGAGUCUGGUUGUAAAGAACUCCACUGUACCAACUAAAAUUGAUUUCACAAAACACAAUAAGCACCAAUCCCUGGCAACGGCGCAAAAAACUUGUUGUCGAUUUUCUAAUGCUAUUAGUGUCAAUGUGAAAAUGUACACAACAAGUAAUAUAACGAUAAGUAUUCACUCCACAAGGAUUAUUAUUAUAGGAAUUGCUACAGUAAUUCUAUCAGUGCCAUUCUUAUUAUAAAUUAGAAUUUAAACAAAUUAUUCAACUAAUGAACUAAGGCAGAUCUUAUUGGGCUAGUCGGCAAUGUGUUGCUUUAGGUCGUGUGGAAUAGUUGCGGGAGUGAUCUUGCAUGAUGUGUGGAGCUAUAACAGUGCUGAGCAUGGGCCAAUCUAUGGGCUCAUGGAACUAGCGAACCUAAUCUAGAAUUUCGAGGAAGAGUACUCUGGUUAGUACUCUAAAUUACCUUAUUAUAUUUUGCACAAACAGAGGCAUGUUAGUGAAAUAAUAUCUAAGCAACCCAAGAGGGGGGUGAAUUGGGUUUCUAAAAAUUAUGCAAUUCUUAAACAAAACUUAAUGCAAAUCUUAAACGAAUUUAAAGUAAUAAUAAAUAAAUCAACCAAAGUAUAAAAAGAUAAGGGAAGAUAGAUUAAAAAACAGAGAGUUUUACGUGGUUCGGCCAACCUUGCCUACAUCCACGCCCCCAAGCACACCGAGCUUGGGCAUUCCACUAGUCAAGCCUUCAAGGCUUCAAGAACACUUACAAUUGACUUCUUAGGUGUCAAUCAACCUUUACAUCUAGAGAUUAUCCUCAAUCUCUUAACCCAAGUGUAUCCCAACAUUUACAAUCACUCAAAAUAAAGAUUACAAAUUUAUUUUUCUCCCACACAAUUUUUUAAGAUUACAAAUCAACGCUUAAUGUGUGAAUAAAUGAACAAGAAUAAAUUUGAAACUCAAUGAAUGUUGUAUUCUCGAUUAUAAGCUCAAUGAUAACGUUGUGAUAAGCUCUUGUUUGAAUUUGAUUGAGCUUAUUUAUAGUUAGAGUUGAAAAAUAGCCAUUGUUGACUUUUUCCCGAAAUUGGAUCGCCGUUAACCGUUAUCGGUUAACCGUUUUGACUGGUCCAAGUGACCGUUGAGCUGAAUUUCAAAUAAACGGUUGAUCUUUUGACAUUAUCGGUUUGCUGUUAAUUUCCAUAAACCUGUAAAACAAAUUUAUGCUAUCCGUUCUUGCUAAACGGUUGAAGGUCAGCAUGGAAUGACAUUCUAGAAAUUAUUGGUUGGCCGUUUGAAGUUCACGGUUCACCGUUUACUUCUAGAAUCACAGUUUUAACCAAAUUUCGCAGGGAAUGCUUUUUCGGUUAAAGUUAACGAUUAUCCAUAUUUCAUGAGCACAUUUAGAAAAAUCAUACGACUUUUGAGAAAUUGUUUAGUAAUGAAAACUCUAACAUUUUAAUCAAAUACAUUUAAAGUUUGUUAUCAUCAAAAUCAAUAUAAUGAACAUCUACAUGUUAACAGUUAGGCCUUGAUUAUUUUUUAAAUCUUAUAAGAUAUAGAGUGAUAAUAGUAACUCAAUUUUCAUAAAACGUGGAAAGAUCAGUCGCCAAAUUUAUAGAUGCCAUAGAAAAUCUAGAUUUUAGUAAGGAAUAUCAAGUUAUUUAUACAAUGAAAAUUGUUAAAACUCGAUUAAUUGCAAGGAAACACUUUUAGAGAGAUAUGGAGAGAAUAAACUUUGAAGAUAACAAUGAAAUACAUGACACUUAAGGAAGAAAAUAUAAUAGUAUUAAUAGAAUCUAUUUUAACCGGUCUUAAGAUAAUUCAAGAUUGAUGCAAAAUAAAUAACAGGACUCUAAACCGUCCAUAAUAAGUCUAUUGAUUAAUAAUAACAAUAAUAGUGAUGUGAAAUUUUUUAUUCAGAAUGCUCAAUUUAGAUUAUAAUAUCUAUGUGAAAGCAUUGAUGGCAUGUACCUUGGUUAGGAAAAUAGAUUGGACACAUGGAUAUAUAUGUUGGAAGAACAAAUCUAGUUUAUAUCUCAAGAGAGAUAAUAAAUUAUAAAUGACGGUGCUAUAGUAUAUUCAGAUUUUAUAAAUCUUUAUAAAUUUAAUAAUCAUUUAGAUCUUCAUAAUAUUAUAAUAAAACUUUAAAAAACUUUAAAAAUAUAUGUAGAAGAGAUGGAAGAAGAAAUCAUCCAAUUAUUCAAAAUCAAUUAAACAAAAAUAGAAGGUAAAAUCCUUGAAUUAUAUAAAUUAUACAAUUUUCACAGAAAUUUUGCAUAUAUUGCGAAACGGUCCUUGUGGCACUAAUUAUGGGACUAGUGUAGCAUAAAUACUAAUAUUGCUUUUUAUUUUGUAAAUUAAUUGUUGCGUCAUAAUGUUUUUACAUACACAUUUUUUGUUUUAAAAUAUGAAUUUUUUUUUUUGUAUUUAGGGUUAAUUUUACAAUUUCAUACUUUGUUCAAUUAUAUGUACAGGUCCUUAACGUGUUGGUUGAUGUUGAAUAUUCAAAGAUCCACAAGCUAUCAACGACAACGAAUCAAAUUAAACUAAUUAGUUAAUACAUAAUGACUGGGUUGUUUCCUAUGCUUGUUAAUGAUGUAGGACGUUAUUUUAGGAUUUUAGAAUUUUAAUUAUUAGGUCUUCUGAUAUUUUCUUUUUUAAUUAAAGUCAGUGUCUUAGUUUUUUAUUUAUUUAUGUUAUAAUUAUAAUUUACUUUCUCUUUUUAAGUUAACUUAGGAAAAUAUAUUUACUGUAUUAUAAAUAAAGAGAUCUUGUUAUUACUUUAUAACUUCAACUUCAGUUAUUCAAUUAAAAACCCCUCUUUUAAAGUUGUUUGAUUAGAGCAUCAUCUAGCCUUGCUUAACGCAGUAUUAAAUAUCCCUUUGAGUUUAAUCACACUUCGAUUAGAGCGUAACUUAAUCGCAUUGACUUGGUCCAGUACUUGAACGAUAUCUAGUGUUUUGCUUCCGCUAUGCCCAAGGAGAAAAUUAAUUUCACCGUGAGAUAAGAGCAUUAAAAGGAAUUCAUAAGAAAUUGGGAAAAUAUCCACCGUCCACUUGAUUUUGUCCACUUUUUUAAAAAUACACAAAUCUUAAUUUUUUUUGCUGCGCUACACCUAAACUUAUAUUUUUUUUUCACAUUUCCACCUCCGUUUGCAAAUUGUCAAAACGUUGCUGACGUCAUAAGGAUAAAAUAAUAAUUUCACUUGGGCUUCAAAAACAAAGUCGUUUAAGAUCUGUAAUUUAACCUUUUCGUUUGAUUCUGGAGUAAGGUUGGCCCUACAAACCGGGCAUGUCACGUGAGAGGCUAAGUAGACAUCGAUGCAAUGAGGAUGGAACACGUGAUCACAUUUUGGAAGUAAACGCAACGUUUCGUCAUCCUCAAACUCGCUUAAACACACGACACAUUCCAGAGCACCUUUCCCAAUUUUCAGAUCCUUCACCGCAGAGUAGACGAAGAUAGGGAAAGACUCGAUGACGGAAGGAUCGAGGCCGCGGUUUCUGGAGACAAUUUAAAGGCAAUUUAACGUUGAGAGAGAUGUCAACGUUAACGUACUGUGUUCGCUGAAGUAGGGAGAGCUUUGCGAGUUACGGACGUCUUGAGAGAUGCAGGUGCGGCAAACUGAAUGAGCGUUUGCUGCUGUGCUGAAGGCACUAGCAAUGGAAGCCGGCAGUUCGGGGACGCGACACAUGCGUUCACAAGUGGGGUUCGUUAAAGUUGGUGGUGAGGGUAUGGGAUUGGGCGAUGGUUGGAAUUCGAACGGAAGGAACCUGUUGACAGCAGUUAAAUCGCCGUUAAAUUGUUUUGAUUUCACCGUCUAGUUCGCGACCCACCUCGAUAUCUCCGCUUUAGUUUGUGGGUGGUGGACAAUCUUGCCGUUUGUUUAUUUGCGCUAACUGUUCAUCUUGCCGUUUGUUUUCUUUCUCAUUUUAAAAUUUCAUUUUCUCUGUUGUUAUUGGGACAAAAAUGUAGGAGGAUUUGGAGAAUAUAUGCAUAAUUCAGGGAGGGACAGUGUCGUAGUUACAGAACAAAUUCGAGGCCAAUUAAUGCCAGAGGAAUUGGAUGUGCCGCGCACUGCGAAUCAAUGCCGGAGGAAAUGGGAUUCAUUGCUUGAUGAGUACAAAAAGAUAAUUGUGCGAUCAAGGACUUUUCCUAACUCCCAAACUCAAACUCAUACUGAUUUCUUUCCACCCAAUUUUGACCCUGAGCUCUUUAAAGCCAUUCAUGAUUUCGUUAUGUCUAAGGAUACCGAUCUGAUGAUACUGACCCAGAUUCAGAUACCGAUCCUGAAGCUGACUUCUCUGAAGCAAUUUCACAAACACAACUAGGUAACUUUUAACUUCUCUCUCUUGUCUUGGAUUGGGAGGACUUCUCAUCCACCUCGAUAACAAGAACAUACACACAUACUCUUUAUUUUUAUCUCCACCCACAAACGGCAACGGCUACAAUACUCAUAAAACUAAUAUUUUGGCGUUUAUUUAGGGUAAAUAUGUAAUUUUUUAUUUUCGGGAUUAAAAAAUAAUUUGGAUAAAAUUCCAUUAGUUUUAUUGACGGUUUGUAGACGGAGGUGGAAAUGUGAAAAAAAUUAUAAGUUUAGGUAGAGCACAGCUAAAAAAAUUAAGAUUUGUAUAUUUUUUAAAAAGUGAACAAAAUCAUGUGGACGGUGGAUAUUUUCCCUAAGAAAUUUAAAUUAAAGCUAUAUAUGUUAAAUAUAUCGCUAGCUACUUGUUUUUGGAGGAAUUAAAACAAUUAAUAAGCUGCGAAGUGAAAAUGAAUAAAUAAAUGAAAUGAGGUUGAAAAUAAGUCUCGCCGCCUGGAUCCAAGGCCAAAACAUUCAUGAUAAGUUAGGUAAUUAAGUACAUGUUUUCAAGCUCUUCAUGAAGAAUAACGUUAUUGAAAUAAAUCACAAAGACUCCCUACGCAAAUUAUUACAUUGAUUAAAAAAAAAAAGCCAUAUCUUUAACAGGAUCGUGACUCUCGGACUGUUAAUUACUUUAUUCCCUGCUUGGCCAACAGCUGGCCACUAAACAAAAUCAUAAAAAUUUUAAAUUUAGUCAAAUUGGUCCCACUUGAUGACAUCCUUUCCAAACAUAAAAUUGUUAACGUCAAGGUUAAAUAUGAGAAGUUUGGUAGAGAAGGUAAAAAGGAAGUCUAUAUAAGGAGGGGAACGAGCUUUGUUUAUAGCACAAGUGAAACUCCACUUUAUUGAACGAUGGGGUCUCAAAUGGGCUGCCUCUUUGCCACUCUUUUGGUAGUAUCAGUCUCUCUUAGCUACUUGCCGUUAGAAGCCUCCGCAAACAAAUACUACUACACAUCUCCUCCCCCUCCCAAGUACAAGUCUCCACCACCACCCCCGCCACCGGUUCACAAUUCUCCACCACCACCCCCGGUUUACCUGCCCCCGCCACCUCCUCCACCAGUCUACGUGCCUGCUCCGGCACCAACUCCAAUUUUCCCUUCUCCGCCACCUCCUGUCCCCAAGUCCCCACCACCACCUCACCCUUACGUCUAUGCAUCUCCCCCUCCUCCUUACUACUACUAGAAAGCGGCCAUGAAUAGCUCAUGCUUUUAUGGUAAUCUCAUUUAUUUUUAAAACUGUACAUGUAAAGACUAGUAGUUCAGAAUUACAUUAAGCAUUUCAAUUUUAAGCACCGUGUUCUGUUUAAUUGCGUUCCUAUUGAUUAAGUGACAAAUAAAAGAGAUUGAUUAAUUUGUUCUUGUAGGAGAGGCGAAUGGUAUCCGAAUAAAGAAAGCAAGGGUUUGAUGGAAGGCUUACUUGGAGCAAGAUAGCGAUCAAUCGAGUUGCUGCGUUUUAUUCUCUUUUAUCUUUGUUUUUUAAGAAAAAUAAACUGCCACACGUAGAAACAGAAAAUUAAGUUCUUGUCAUUUUCAUGCAUAUGGAUUGUUGCUGUGUGUGUCAAUCAAAUCUCCGUUGUGUCAUUUGUAAUUUUCAACCUUUAUGCAUGCAAAUGCGAGACCUCUUACGUAUAAUAAAAUUAAUAUACUUCCCAAGAUGGUCUUAUCUUGCGUUGACUUUUUACGUUCCUUUGGUGAUGAUUUUGACGUUUGAAAUUGAUGACUAAUUGACUAUUGUUUUUGUAAACUCUGACAUGGAUUUUUCGUGCAACUACAGAGCGCAUUAACGAGAGACUUAUCCAUGAGGGUCCAUGCAGAUCAGUGUCUAAUUAACCAAUAAUUAAUAUAACUAAAAAAAUAUAGAGUUAACUAUUUUUAUGGGUCAGGCUCAAUUGCAGAUGUUCGUACAAAAUUUCUUGCUAAUGUAUACUUGAGUAUGAUAAUAAGUUUUAAUCAUUAUUAAUAAUUCACUUGAUAAUAUUAAACAAAUUUUCAUAUCAAUUAAGUUACAAAAUUUCUGUGACAAAUUUCCGCGUACUGGAACCAUGCAAAAGGGCUUUAUUCAAACAAAACUGCAUAGCCGUUGGCAAUUAAAAUUAUUUAUCAAUUAAGUUAAGUAGUAAGAAUUGGAUUGUGGAUUCCAUUAAUUAUUUCAAGGAAAAUUUUAUAGAUAAUGCCGUAAUGAAAUUUACGGCAUCAAUACCAUGAUAAAUAUAAAUAUUGUAAAUUACAAAUAGAAUUAGUAAAUGUAAAGUAAAACCAGUAAAUUCAUAAAAGAUUAUUAAUUAUUUAAAAAAUUAACAUUGUUUCUACAUAAUUUUAGUGAAAAAUAUUUUAUUCAUUUACAAAAACAUUUCUUUAAUUAAACAAAAAAAUUCAUUAAUUAAGCAAAAAAAUUAUACUGAAAAAAAAGUGGAAUAAGUUUAAUUGAAUUGGUUAUCAUAAAUUCUAUAUUUAGUCUAGGACAUUUUUAUACAUUUUCUUCCCAUUUUCGAUAAUGAUAUCUAUUUGUUACACAUGUUAAUUAAGUGCAAUUAUUUAUCUUGAUGUGGAUCAAGUAAAAAAAUAUCAUAAAUAAGAUAUCAAUAAAAUUAGAUCUAAUUUUGAAUAUUAUGUAUACUUUAUGUAGUUUCAAACUUUUUACUUGUAUUUGGAGACCAUUUAAGGUUGUUGUUGAAGAAGUGUAGAAAGAUGUAAAAUAACUUCAUCUUACAACAACUAUGAAAGAUAUUAAAAUAAUAAUUUUUUCAAAAUCCGAUUUUGAGAAAAAAAUUCAUCCUUAAUUAAACAUCACAUGUAUUAUAGAAAUGCAAAACUACCAUUGUUAUAUUUAACUUAAAAAAUAAUAAAUAUAUAAGGUAAUAAACAUUAUAAAGAGUUUUUAUUUUAAAAUUGUAAACUUUUGUUUCUGACAAUAACUCUUAUAUUAAUUUAUUUAUUUUGCCUUUUAUUCAUAAGUUUUAUGCAUAAUUUACAAACUUUAAGUUUUAUUUUGCAUUUUAUGUUGAUUUGGUUUUUUUAUAUUAUACGUACAAGUUUUCUUUUUAUUUACCAGUAAUACAUCAAUUUAUCAGCUUGAUAGUAAUUUACUUAUUUUACCUUCCUUUUACAAUUCUUAUGUUUCAUUUCCAAAAUUUAUGUUUUAUUUUACAGUUGUUGAUGAUUUACUAGUUUUAUGUUAUGUUUGCAAGUUUUUGUUUUGUUUACUAGUAAUAGAUUAAUGGGUAAUUUUUAAUUGAGUCCUCAUUAGUUCUAGAAAAACAAUUCAGAGACCAGAAGUUUACUAAAUGAAUCAAUUAAAUUCUUUCAAGUACAAACUAAUGUCAUUCAAGUCCUUAACUUAAUUGGUCAGUUAAAAAUAUUAACAACGUUGAGGACAUUUUAGUAAAACAACAAUUGAGUCGUUUCUCAUUCUUUAUUUUUGACAGGUGGAAAUAGUUUAAAGUAAACUCACUUAACCUGAUUAAGUUAAGGAUCAGUUCUUUCAAAUGAAAAAAAAAAAAAAAACCUACAGAAACUGCCAUAUUCUUCGUGUGGGAGGAGAGAUCGAGAGAACGUGGGAUGGUGCAAAAAAUGUUGUAUAAAUCUACUGUGAUUUUGACCAAAGCUUUGGUAGCAUUGAUUGAGUUCAAGUACUGGAGAGAACCUGAGUUUAAAGGUUAGUAACUCUAUUUUUUUAGUGAUUUCUGCAAGCAUUUUCUGAUAAAAAAUUUUCCGUAUUGAGUGAUCGUUGUGAAAAAUUAAGUUUUUCAAGUCUAUUUUACAAAAUGACAAACUAUGUUUAAUUAUUGAUGGAUUCUUUUUUUUGUUCAAUGUUGUAUUUUGUUAAUUUGUUGUUUUUAAUUUGCUCUUAAUGUAAUUGUUAGACCAAAUACACCAUUAUUAUACCUGUAUUCAUUUCAACAAUUUGGUAUCGUUAUAUUAAUAAGAUUGAAUUCAUUGUAUUUGCUUCUUUGUUCAUGUAAAAUUGAAUUCUAUGUAUUCUUAUGAGUGAUAAUUUUUCUAUCUAUUAGACUAAAUUCACUAUAUUCACUACUUUCUUUCUUUUUGCUGGGCUAUUUUUUCUUUUUAGUUUAUAUUUUUUAUAUGUAUUAGAUUGAAUUUGCUUUUGUACGUUUUUUUUAGCCGAAUUACAUGUAUAUUUCAUUUAGGUUGAGUUUUUUUUGUUGUUUGCUAAAUAAAAUUAUAUUGGUUUAUCCCUUUUUUAUGCAAUACUUUUUGUUUAAAAUUAAUACAGUUAGCCAUGUUACCUUUUUUUUCGGUUAAAAUUAAUGGGGUGAUGUAGGCGAUAGGAUAUAGGGAACCAGAGGAAUAUAAGAUUAUUAGGCUGUUUCUUGAAAUUCAAGAUGUCAUGGUUAAGCAUGGACACAGUGAAAUGGAUUUGAUUGAAAUUUUUGUUGUAUUGCCAUGGACUACAAGUGGCCAGAGGAAGCUAAUUUCAAACGAUAGUGAAUUGUAUUGGGUUUUCGAGGAGUUUUUUUUAAUCAAUAGUUGUCCUGUCAUUGAGUUUGAGGUGCACACUGGGUCAGGUGGUCAGUCAUUUCAUGAAAGUGUUGUAAUAGGACCUGAAAAUCCUGUCAAUAUUAAAAAUUAGUGUUGUAAUAGUGAUAAGUUUGAAAAUGUUGUGGCUAAAAAGGUCUGCCUAGAAUAAUUGGUACUUCUUUAUUUGCCUCAAAGUCCAACACUAUGAAAUCCACAAGGAAAAAGAAUUUAUCCACUUUAACCAGCACGUCUUCAAUCUUGCCUUCAGGAUAAGCAUGAGAUCUGGCAGCACAUUGCAAUGUCACUGUGGUUGGUUUGACUUCUCCAACUCCCAAUUGCUUGAAUUCUGAUAAUGUCAUAAGAUUGAUGCUUGCUCCCAAACCACAAAGUGUCUUGCCACUGUAUUUAGUUCCUAUGGAACAAUGAAUUGUGAAACUUCCUGGAUCCUUCAACUUCUGAGGCAUUUUACUCUGAAGCAUAUGGCUGCAUUCUUGUGUUAGACCAACUAUUUCAAAUUCUCCGAGCCUCAUUUUCCUUGCCAAUAUACAUUUCCAAAACUUUACAUAAUUUGGCAUUUGUUCUAAUGCUUCCACAAAAGAAAUGUUGAUAUGCAGUUCUUUCCAUACUUCCAAGAAUUUACUGAACUGCAUGUCUUGCUUUCGCUUUUGAAAUCUUUGUGGGAAGGGUGGUGGAUGUGUAAAUUGUUGUACUGCAGCAGACUAUACAUAUUGCUUUUCUCUUGCUCUAUUAUGGUAUGUUAUUAUUGGUGUUGCAGCUUCUUCCUCAACAAGCAUUGAAUCAUGUUUUUUUGCAGUUGCUAUAACUUAGCAACUCUCACCAGUGUGCUGGAAAAUGGGUUGUUGUGUCUCUUCUUUAAUUUGAGUUUCCCCUUGGGUUGAAUUAGGUUCCACUCUUCUUUUUGGUACUUUAACAAGUAUAUGAACAUCCUUUCCAAACCUUAAGUUAAUCCCCUUACAAUGCUCUUUUCCUUCUCUCUUUCGAUCCUCUGUAUUGUUUAGUAAAUUGUCCUGAGGUAUGUUGCUCAAUUUUGUAGCAAGCUGUCCAAUCUUAUUCUCCAAGUUUCUUAAAAAUACAGCUUGGCUUUAGACCACUACUCCAAUCUUUACAAUAUACUCCUUAAUCAGAGUUUCAAUGGAACUAAAUUGAUCAUUACUGGUGUUUCUUUACCCUUCAAAUUUCUGGUGAAAAUCAGGUGGCUGAGCAAGUCUGUUCUGUCCACUGGAUGCUGCAGCAUGCUGAUUCUGAUUGCUCCUUUUAAAAUUUGGGUGAUGUCUCCAUCCUAGGUUAUAGGUGUUUGAAAAUGGAUUGCUUUGAUUUUGUUUAUUAAAAUUGCCCACAUAAUUGACGGAAGCUGAAUUCCUAGGACAAUUAUGAUAUAGAUGUCCCUCUCCAUAAUAAACACAAGAGACUUCAGCAAUUUGGUUAACUGUUGCCGGAGCAGUGGCCGUUGCUUUUACCAUAUUUGUCAAUGAGGUUACUUGGGCUGAUAAUGUUGUCAGUGCAUCCACAUUGUGUACUCCUGCUGCUCCUCUCACUGUGGCUUGUCUAGUUGAUGGCCAUUGAUAGUUAUCCUUUCUAAAAUUUCAUAAGCCUCAUUAUAUGAGUUAGACAAUAAAGCCCCUAGUUAUUGAGUUCAACCCAUUGUAGAAAGUUUCCAAUUGUAUGCAAUAAGGAAUACCAUGAUGAGGGCAUCUCCUGAGUAACCCCUUGAAUCUUUCUCAUGCAUCAUACAAGCUUUCAUCUUCAAGUUGAUGGAAAGAUGUGAUCUCAUUCUUCAACUUUGCAUUCUUUGUUGGUGGGAAAUAUUUCAUCAAAAGUUUGUCAGCCAAAUAAUUCCAUGUGGUGAUGGAGUCUGGUUGCAAAGAACUCCACUGUACCAACUAAAAUUGAUUUCACAAAACACAAUAAGCACCAAUCCCCGGCAACGGCGCAAAAAACUUGUUGUCGAUUUUCUAAUGCUAUUAGUGUCAAUGUGAAAAUGUACACAACAAGUAAUAUAACGAUAAGUAUUCACUCCACAAGGAUUAUUAUUAUAGGAAUUGCUACAGUAAUUCUAUCAGUGCCAUUCUUAUUAUAAAUUAGAAUUUAAACAAAUUAUUCAACUAAUGAACUAAGGCAGAUCUUAUUGGGCUAGUCGGCAAUGUGUUGCUUUAGGUCGUGUGGAAUAGUUGCGGGAGUGAUCUUGCAUGAUGUGUGGAGCUAUAACAGUGCUGAGCAUGGGCCAAUCUAUGGGCUCAUGGAACUAGCGAACCUAAUCUAGAAUUUCGAGGAAGAGUACUCUGGUUAGUACUCUAAAUUACCUUAUUAUAUUUUGCACAAACAGAGGCAUGUUAGUGAAAUAAUAUCUAAGCAACCCAAGAGGGGGGUGAAUUGGGUUUCUAAAAAUUAUGCAAUUCUUAAACAAAACUUAAUGCAAAUCUUAAACGAAUUUAAAGCAAUAAUACAUAAAUCAACCAAGGUAUAAAAAGAUAAGGGAAGAGAGAUUAAAACACAGAGAGUUUUACGUGGUUCGGCCAACCUUGCCUACAUCCACACCCCCAAGCACACCGAGCUUGGGCAUUCCACUAGUCAAGCCUUCAAGGCUUCAAGAACACUUACAAUUGACUUCUUAGGUGUCAAUCAACCUUUACAUCUAGAGAUUAUCCCCAAUCUCUUAACCCAAGUGUAUCCCAAUAUUUACAAUCACUCAAAAUAAAGAUUACAAAUUUAUUUUUCUCUCACACAAUUUUUUAAGAUUACAAAUCAACGCUUAAUGUGUGAAUAAAUGAACAAGAAUGAAUUUGAAGCUCAAUGAAUGUUGUAUUCUCGAUUAUAAGCUCAAUGAUAACGUUGUGAUAAGCUCUUGUUUGAAUUUGAUUGAUCUUAUUUAUAGUUGGAGUUGAAAAAUAGCCAUUGUUGACUUUUUCCCGAAAUUGGAUCGCCGUUAACCGUUAUCGGUUAACCGUUUUGACUGGUCCAAGUGACCGUUGAGCUGAAUUUCAAAUAAACGGUUGAUCUUUUGACACUAUCGGUUUGCUGUUAAUUUCCAUAAACCUGUAAAACAAAUUUAUGCUAUUCGUUCUUGCUAAACGGUUGAAGGUCAGCAUGGAAUGACAUUCUAGAAAUUAUUGGUUGGCCGUUUGAAGUUCACGGUUCACCGUUUACUUCUAGAAUCACAGUUUUAACCAAAUUUCGCAGGGAAUGCUUUUUCGGUUAAAGUUAACGAUUAUCCAUAUUUCAUGAACACAUUUAGAAAAAUCAUACGACUUUUGAGAAAUUGUUUAGUAAUGAAAACUCUAACAUUUUAAUCAAAUACAUUUAAAGUUUGUUAUCAUCAAAAUCAAUAUAAUGAACAUCUACAUGUUAACAGUUAGGCCUUGAUUAUUUUUUAAAUCUUAUAAGAUAUAGAGUGAUAAUAGUAACUCAAUUUUCAUAAAACGUGGAAAGAUCAGUCGCCAAAUUUAUAGAUGCCAUAGAAAACCUAGAUUUUAGUAAGGAAUAUCAAGUUAUUUAUACAAUGAAAAUUGUUAAAACUCGAUUAAUUGCAAGGAAACACUUUUAGAGAGAUAUGGAGAGAAUAAACUUUGAAGAUAACAAUGAAAUACAUGACACAUUUAAGGAAGAAAAUAUAAUAGUAUUAAUAGAAUCUAUUUUAACCGGUCUUAAGAUAAUUCAAGAUUGAUGCAAAAUAAAUAACAGGACUCUAAACCGUCCAUAAUAAGUCUAUUGAUUAAUAAUAACAAUAAUAGUGAUGUGAAAUUUUUUAUUCAGAAUGCUCAAUUUAGAUUAUAAUAUCUAUGUGAAAGCAUUGAUGGCAUGUACCUUGGUUAGGAAAAUAGAUUGGACACAUGGAUAUAUAUGUUGGAAGAACAAAUCUAGUUUAUAUCUCAAGAGAGAUAAUAAAUUAUAAAUGACGGUGCUAUAGUAUAUUCAGAUUUUAUAAAUCUUUAUAAAUUUAAUAAUCAUUUAGAUCUUCAUAAUAUUAUAAUAAAACUUUAAAAAACUUUAAAAAUAUAUGUAGAAGAGAUGGAAGAAGAAAUCAUCCAAUUAUUCAAAAUCAAUUAAACAAAAAUAGAAGGUAAAAUCCUUGAAUUAUAUAAAUUAUACAAUUUCACAGAAAUUUUGCAUAUAUUGCGAAACGGUCCUUGUGGCACUAAUUAUGGGACUAGUGUAGCAUAAAUACUAAUAUUGCUUUUUAUUUUGUAAAUUAAUUGUUGCGUCAUAAUUUUUUUACAUACACAUUUUAUGUUUUAAAAUAUGAUUUUUUUUUUGUAUUUAGGGUUAAUUUUACAAUUUCAUACUUUGUUCAAUUAUAUGUACAGGUCCUUCACGUGUUGGUUGAUGUUGAAUAUUCAAAGAUCCACAAGCUAUCAACGACAACGAAUCAAAUUAAACUAAUUAGUUAAUACAUAAUGACUGGGUUGUUUCCUAUGUUGUUAAUGAUGUAGAACGUUAUUUUAGGAUUUUAGAAUUUUAAUUUUUAGGUCUUCUGAUAUUUUCUUUUUUAAUUAAAGUUAGUGUCUUAGUUUUUUAUUUAUUUAUGUUAUAAUUAUAAUUUACUUUCUCUUUUUAAGUUAACUUAGGAAAAUAUAUUUACUGUAUUAUAAAUAAAGAGAUCUUGUUAUUACUUUAUAACUUCAACUUCAGUUAUUCAAUUAAAAACCCCUCUUUUAUAAUUUCCUUUUGUAUUAUCUAUUAAAAACCCCUCUUUUAAAGUUGUUUGAUUAGAGCAUCAUCUAGCCUUGCUUAACGCAGUAUAAAAAAUCCCUUUGAGUUUAAUCACACGUCGAUUAGAGCGUAACUUAAUCGCAUUGACUUGGUCCAUGACUUGAACGAUAUCUAGUGUUUUGCUUCCGCUAUGCCCAAGGAGAAAAUUAAUUUCACCGUGAGAUAAGAGCAUUAAAAGGAAUUCAUAAGAAAUUUAAAUUAAAGCUAUAUAUGUUAAAUAUAUCGCUAGCUACUUGUUUUUGGAGGAAUUAAAACAAUUAAUAAGCUGCGAAGUGAAAAUGAAUAAAUAAAUGAAAUGAGGUUGAAAAUAAGUCUCGCCGCCUGGAUCCAAGGCCAAAACAUUCAUGAUAAGUUAGGUAAUUAAGUACAUGUUUUCAAGCUCUUCAUGAAGAAUAACGUUAUUGAAAUAAAUCACAAAGACUCCCUGCGCAAAUUAUUACAUUGAUUAAAAAAAAAAGCCAUAUCUUUAACAGGAUCGUGACUCUCGGACUGUUAAUUACUUUAUUCCCUGCUUGGCCAACAGCUGGCCACUAAACAAAAUCAUAAAAAUUUUAAAUUUAGUCAAAUUGGUCCCACUUGAUGACAUCCUUUUCAUACAUAAAAUUGUUAACGUCAAGGUUAAAUAUGAGAAGUUUGGUAGAGAAGGUAAAAAGGAAGUCUAUAUAAGGAGGGGAACGAGCUUUGUUUAUAGCACAAGUGAAACUCCACUUUAUUGAACGAUGGGGUCUCAAAUGGGCUGCCUCUUUGCCACUCUUUUGGUAGUAUCAGUCUCUCUUAGCUACUUGCCGUUAGAAGCCUCCGCAAACAAAUACUACUACACAUCUCCUCCCCCUCCCAAGUACAAGUCUCCACCACCACCCCCGCCACCGGUUCACAAUUCUCCACCACCACCCCCGGUUUACCUGCCCCCGCCACCUCCUCCACCAGUCUACGUGCCUGCUCCGGCACCAACUCCAAUUUUCCCUUCUCCGCCACCUCCUGUCCCCAAGUCCCCACCACCACCUCACCCUUACGUCUAUGCAUCUCCCCCUCCUCCUUACUACUACUAGAAAGCGGCCAUGAAUAGCUCAUGCUUUUAUGGUAAUCUCAUUUAUUUUUAAAACUGUACAUGUAAAGACUAGUAGUUCAGAAUUACAUUAAGCAUUUCAAUUUUAAGCACCGUGUUCUGUUUAAUUGCGUUCCUAUUGAUUAAGUGACAAAUAAAAGAGAUUGAUUAAUUUGUUCUUGUAGGAGAGGCGAAUGGUAUCCGAAUAAAGAAAGCAAGGGUUUGAUGGAAGGCUUACUUGGAGCAAGAUAGCGAUCAAUCGAGUUGCUGCGUUUUAUUCUCUUUUAUCUUUGUUUUUUAAGAAAAAUAAACUGCCACACGUAGAAACAGAAAAUUAAGUUCUUGUCAUUUUCAUGCAUAUGGAUUGUUGCUGUGUGUGUCAAUCAAAUCUCCGUUGUGUCAUUUGUAAUUUUCAACCUUUAUGCAUGCAAAUGCGAGACCUCUUACGUAUAAUAAAAUUAAUAUACUUCCCAAGAUGGUCUUAUCUUGCGUUGACUUUUUACGUUCCUUUGGUGAUGAUUUUGACGUUUGAAAUUGAUGACUAAUUGACUAUUGUUUUUGUAAACUCUGACAUGGAUUUUUCGUGCAACUACAGAGCGCAUUAACGAGAGACUUAUCCAUGAGGGUCCAUGCAGAUCAGUGUCUAAUUAACCAAUAAUUAAUAUAACUAAAAAAAUAUAGAGUUAACUAUUUUUAUGGGUCAGGCUCAAUUGCAGAUGUUCGUACAAAAUUUCUUGCUAAUGUAUACUUGAGUAUGAUAAUAAGUUUUUAAUCAUUAUUAAUAAUUCACUUGAUAAUAUUAAACAAAUUUUCAUAUCAAUUAAGUUACAAAAUUUCUGUGACAAAUUUCCGCGUACUGGAACCAUGCAAAAGGGCUUUAUUCAAACAAAACUGCAUAGCCGUUGGCAAUUAAAAUUAUUUAUCAAUUAAGUUAAGUAGUAAGAAUUGGAUUGUGGAUUCCAUUAAUUAUUUCAAGGAAAAUUUUAUAGAUAAUGCCGUAAUGAAAUUUACGGCAUCAAUACCAUGAUAAAUAUAAAUAUUGUAAAUUACAAAUAGAAUUAGUAAAUGUAAAGUAAAACCAGUAAAUUCAUAAAAGAUUAUUAAUUAUUUAAAAAAUUAACAUUGUUUCUACAUAAUUUUAGUGAAAAAUAUUUUAUUCAUUUACAAAAACAUUUCUUUAAUUAAACAAAAAAAUUCAUUAAUUAAGCAAAAAAAUUAUACUGAAAAAAAAGUGGAAUAAGUUUAAUUGAAUUGGUUAUCAUAAAUUCUAUAUUUAGUCUAGGACAUUUUUAUACAUUUUCUUCCCAUUUUCGAUAAUGAUAUCUAUUUGUUACACAUGUUAAUUAAGUGCAAUUAUUUAUCUUGAUGUGGAUCAAGUAAAAAAAUAUCAUAAAUAAGAUAUCAAUAAAAUUAGAUCUAAUUUUGAAUAUUAUGUAUACUUUAUGUAGUUUCAAACUUUUUACUUGUAUUUGGAGACCAUUUAAGGUUGUUGUUGAAGAAGUGUAGAAAGAUGUAAAAUAACUUCAUCUUACAACAACUAUGAAAGAUAUUAAAAUAAUAAUUUUUUCAAAAUCCGAUUUUGAGAAAAAAAUUCAUCCUUAAUUAAACAUCACAUGUAUUAUAGAAAUGCAAAACUACCAUUGUUAUAUUUAACUUAAAAAAUAAUAAAUAUAUAAGGUAAUAAACAUUAUAAAGAGUUUUUAUUUUAAAAUUGUAAACUUUUGUUUCUGACAAUAACUCUUAUAUUAAUUUAUUUAUUUUGCCUUUUAUUCAUAAGUUUUAUGCAUAAUUUACAAACUUUAAGUUUUAUUUUGCAUUUUAUGUUGAUUUGGUUUUUUUAUAUUAUACGUACAAGUUUUCUUUUUAUUUACCAGUAAUACAUCAAUUUAUCAGCUUGAUAGUAAUUUACUUAUUUUACCUUCCUUUUACAAUUCUUAUGUUUCAUUUCCAAAAUUUAUGUUUUAUUUUACAGUUGUUGAUGAUUUACUAGUUUUAUGUUAUGUUUGCAAGUUUUUGUUUUGUUUACUAGUAAUAGAUUAAUGGGUAAUUUUUAAUUGAGUCCUCAUUAGUUCUAGAAAAACAAUUCAGAGACCAGAAGUUUACUAAAUGAAUCAAUUAAAUUCUUUCAAGUACAAACUAAUGUCAUUCAAGUCCUUAACUUAAUUGGUCAGUUAAAAAUAUUAACAACGUUGAGGACAUUUUAGUAAAACAACAAUUGAGUCGUUUCUCAUUCUUUAUUUUUGACAGGUGGAAAUAGUUUAAAGUAAACUCACUUAACCUGAUUAAGUUAAGGAUCAGUUCUUUCAAAUGAAAAAAAAAAAAAAAAACCUACAGAAACUGCCAUAUUCUUCGUGUGGGAGGAGAGAUCGAGAGAACGUGGGAUGGUGCAAAAAAUGUUGUAUAAAUCUACUGUGAUUUUGACCAAAGCUUUGGUAGCAUUGAUUGAGUUCAAGUACUGGAGAGAACCUGAGUUUAAAGGUUAGUAACUCUAUUUUUUUAGUGAUUUUUGCAAGCAUUUUCUGAUAAAAAAUUUUCCGUAUUGAGUGAUCGUUGUGAAAAAUUAAGUUUUUCAAGUCUAUUUUACAAAAUGACAAACUAUGUUUAAUUAUUGGUGGAUUCUUUUUUUUGUUCAAUGUUGUAUUUUGUUAAUUUGUUGUUUUUAAUUUGCUCUUAAUGUAAUUGUUAGACCAAAUACACCAUUAUUAUACCUAUAUUCAUUUCAACAAUUUGGUAUCGUUAUAUUAAUAAGAUUGAAUUCAUUGUAUUUGCUUCUUUGUUCAUGUAAAAUUGAAUUCUAUGUAUUCUUAUGAGUGAUAAUUUUUCUAUCUAUUAGACUAAAUUCACUAUAUUCACUACUUUCUUUCUUUUUGCUGGGCUAUUUUUUCUUUUUAGUUUAUAUUUUUAUAUGUAUUAGAUUGAAUUUGCUUUUGUACGUUUUUUUAGCCGAAUUACAUGUAUAUUUCAUUUAGGUUGAGUUUUUUUUGUUGUUUGCUAAAUAAAAUUAUAUUGGUUUAUCCCCUUUUUAUGCAAUACUUUUUGUUUAAAAUUAAUACAGUUAGCCAUGUUACCUUUUUUUUCAGUUAAAAUUAAUGGGGUGAUGUAGGCGAUAGGAUAUAGGGAACCAGAGGAAUAUAAGAUUAUUAGGCUGUUUCUUGAAAUUCAAGAUGUCAUGGUUAAGCAUGGACACAGUGAAAUGGAUUUGAUUGAAAUUUUUGUUGUAUUGCCAUGGACUACAAGUGGCCAGAGGAAGCUAAUUUCAAACGAUAGUGAAUUGUAUUGGGUUUUCGAGGAGUUUUUUUUAAUCAAUAGUUGUCCUGUCAUUGAGUUUGAGGUGCACACUGGGUCAGGUGGUCAGUCAUUUCAUGAAAGUGUUGUAAUAGGACCUGAAAAUCCUGUCAAUAUUAAAAAUUAGUGUUGUAAUAGUGAUAAGUUUGAAAAUGUUGUGGCUAAAAAGGUCUGCCUAGAAUAAUUGGUACUUCUUUAUUUGCCUCAAAGUCCAACACUAUGAAAUCCACAAGGAAAAAGAAUUUAUCCACUUUAACCAGCACGUCUUCAAUCUUGCCUUCAGGAUAAGCAUGAGAUCUGGCAGCACAUUGCAAUGUCACUGUGGUUGGUUUGACUUCUCCAACUCCCAAUUGCUUGAAUUCUGAUAAUGUCAUAAGAUUGAUGCUUGCUCCCAAACCACAAAGUGUCUUGCCACUGUAUUUAGUCCCUAUGGAACAAUGAAUUGUGAAACUUCCUGGAUCCUUCAACUUCUGAGGCAUUUUACUCUGAAGCAUAUGGCUGCAUUCUUGUGUUAGACCAACUAUUUCAAAUUCUCCGAGCCUCAUUUUCCUUGCCAAUAUACAUUUCCAAAAACUUUACAUAAUUUGGCAUUUGUUCUAAUGCUUCCACAAAAGAAAUGUUGAUAUGCAGUUCUUUCCAUACUUCCAAGAAUUUACUGAACUGCAUGUCUUGCUUUCGCUUUUGAAAUCUUUGUGGGAAGGGUGGUGGAUGUGUAAAUUGUUGUACUGCAGCAGACUAUACAUAUUGCUUUUCUCUUGCUCUAUUAUGGUAUGUUAUUAUUGGUGUUGCAGCUUCUUCCUCAACAAGCAUUGAAUCAUGUUUUUUUGCAGUUGCUAUAACUUAGCAACUCUCACCAGUGUGCUGGAAAAUGGGUUGUUGUGUCUCUUCUUUAAUUUGAGUUUCCCCUUGGGUUGAAUUAGGUUCCACUCUUCUUUUUGGUACUUUAACAAGUAUAUGAACAUCCUUUCCAAACCUUAAGUUAAUCCCCUUACAAUGCUCUUUUCCUUCUCUCUUUCGAUCCUCUGUAUUGUUUAGUAAAUUGUCCUGAGGUAUGUUGCUCAAUUUUGUAGCAAGCUGUCCAAUCUUAUUCUCCAAGUUUCUUAAAAAUACAGCUUGGCUUUAGACCACUACUUCAAUCUUUACAAUAUACUCCUUAAUCAGAGUUUCAAUGGAACUAAAUUGAUCAUUACUGGUGUUUCUUUACCCUUCAAAUUUCUGGUGAAAAUCAGGUGGCUGAGCAAGUCUGUUCUGUCCACUGGAUGCUGCAGCAUGCUGAUUCUGAUUGCUCCUUUUAAAAUUUGGGUGAUGUCUCCAUCCUAGGUUAUAGGUGUUUGAAAAUGGAUUGCUUUGAUUUUGUUUAUUAAAAUUGCCCACAUAAUUGACGGAAGCUGAAUUCCUAGGACAAUUAUGAUAUAGAUGUCCCUCUCCAUAAUAAACACAAGAGACUUCAGCAAUUUGGUUAACUGUUGCCGGAGCAGUGGCCGUUGCUUUUACCAUAUUUGUCAAUGAGGUUACUUAGGCUGAUAAUGUUGUCAGUGCAUCCACAUUGUGUACUCCUGCUGCUCCUCUCACUGUGGCUUGUCUAGUUGAUGGCCAUUGAUAGUUAUCCUUUCUAAAAUUUCAUAAGCCUCAUUAUAUGAGUUAGACAAUAAAGCCCCUAGUUAUUGAGUUCAACCCAUUGUAGAAAGUUUCCAAUUGUAUGCAAUAAGGAAUACCAUGAUGAGGGCAUCUCCUGAGUAACCCCUUGAAUCUUUCUCAUGCAUCAUACAAGCUUUCAUCUUCAAGUUGAUGGAAAGAUGUGAUCUCAUUCUUCAACUUUGCAUUCUUUGUUGGUGGGAAAUAUUUCAUCAAAAGUUUGUCAGCCAAAUAAUUCCAUGUGGUGAUGGAGUCUGGUUGCAAAGAACUCCACUGUACCAACUAAAAUUGAUUUCACAAAACACAAUAAGCACCAAUCCCCGGCAACGGCGCAAAAAACUUGUUGUCGAUUUUCUAAUGCUAUUAGUGUCAAUGUGAAAAUGUACACAACAAGUAAUAUAACGAUAAGUAUUCACUCCACAAGGAUUAUUAUUAUAGGAAUUGCUACAGUAAUUCUAUCAGUGCCAUUCUUAUUAUAAAUUAGAAUUUAAACAAAUUAUUCAACUAAUGAACUAAGGCAGAUCUUAUUGGGCUAGUCGGCAAUGUGUUGCUUUAGGUCGUGUGGAAUAGUUGCGGGAGUGAUCUUGCAUGAUGUGUGGAGCUAUAACAGUGCUGAGCAUGGGCCAAUCUAUGGGCUCAUGGAACUAGCGAACCUAAUCUAGAAUUUCGAGGAAGAGUACUCUGGUUAGUACUCUAAAUUACCUUAUUAUAUUUUGCACAAACAGAGGCAUGUUAGUGAAAUAAUAUCUAAGCAACCCAAGAGGGGGGUGAAUUGGGUUUCUAAAAAUUAUGCAAUUCUUAAACAAAACUUAAUGCAAAUCUUAAACGAAUUUAAAGCAAUAAUACAUAAAUCAACCAAGGUAUAAAAAGAUAAGGGAAGAGAGAUUAAAACACAGAGAGUUUUACGUGGUUCGGCCAACCUUGCCUACAUCCACACCCCCAAGCACACCGAGCUUGGGCAUUCCACUAGUCAAGCCUUCAAGGCUUCAAGAACACUUACAAUUGACUUCUUAGGUGUCAAUCAACCUUUACAUCUAGAGAUUAUCCCCAAUCUCUUAACCCAAGUGUAUCCCAAUAUUUACAAUCACUCAAAAUAAAGAUUACAAAUUUAUUUUUCUCUCACACAAUUUUUUAAGAUUACAAAUCAACGCUUAAUGUGUGAAUAAAUGAACAAGAAUGAAUUUGAAGCUCAAUGAAUGUUGUAUUCUCGAUUAUAAGCUCAAUGAUAACGUUGUGAUAAGCUCUUGUUUGAAUUUGAUUGAUCUUAUUUAUAGUUGGAGUUGAAAAAUAGCCAUUGUUGACUUUUUCCCGAAAUUGGAUCGCCGUUAACCGUUAUCGGUUAACCGUUUUGACUGGUCCAAGUGACCGUUGAGCUGAAUUUCAAAUAAACGGUUGAUCUUUUGACACUAUCGGUUUGCUGUUAAUUUCCAUAAACCUGUAAAACAAAUUUAUGCUAUUCGUUCUUGCUAAACGGUUGAAGGUCAGCAUGGAAUGACAUUCUAGAAAUUAUUGGUUGGCCGUUUGAAGUUCACGGUUCACCGUUUACUUCUAGAAUCACAGUUUUAACCAAAUUUCGCAGGGAAUGCUUUUUCGGUUAAAGUUAACGAUUAUCCAUAUUUCAUGAACACAUUUAGAAAAAUCAUACGACUUUUGAGAAAUUGUUUAGUAAUGAAAACUCUAACAUUUUAAUCAAAUACAUUUAAAGUUUGUUAUCAUCAAAAUCAAUAUAAUGAACAUCUACAUGUUAACAGUUAGGCCUUGAUUAUUUUUUAAAUCUUAUAAGAUAUAGAGUGAUAAUAGUAACUCAAUUUUCAUAAAACGUGGAAAGAUCAGUCGCCAAAUUUAUAGAUGCCAUAGAAAAUCUAGAUUUUAGUAAGGAAUAUCAAGUUAUUUAUACAAUGAAAAUUGUUAAAACUCGAUUAAUUGCAAGGAAACACUUUUAGAGAGAUAUGGAGAGAAUAAACUUUGAAGAUAACAAUGAAAUACAUGACACAUUUAAGGAAGAAAAUAUAAUAGUAUUAAUAGAAUCUAUUUUAACCAGUCUUAAGAUAAUUCAAGAUUGAUGCAAAAUAAAUAACAGGACUCUAAACCGUCCAUAAUAAGUCUAUUGAUUAAUAAUAAUAAUAAUAGUGAUGUGAAAUUUUUUAUUCAGAAUGCUCAAUUUAGAUUAUAAUAUCUAUGUGAAAGCAUUGAUGGCAUGUACCUUGGUUAGGAAAAUAGAUUGGACACAUGGAUAUAUAUGUUGGAAGAACAAAUCUAGUUUAUAUCUCAAGAGAGAUAAUAAAUUAUAAAUGCCGGUGCUAUAGUAUAUUCAGAUUUUAUAAAUCUUUAUAAAUUUAAUAAUCAUUUAGAUCUUCAUAAAAUUAUAAUAAAACUUUAAAAAACUUUAAAAAUAUAUGUAGAAGAGAUGGAAGAAGAAAUCAUCCAGUUAUUCAAAAUCAAUUAAACAGAAAUAGAAGGUAAAAUCCUUGAAUUAUAUAAAUUAUACAAUUUCACAGAAAUUUUGCAUAUAUUGCAAAACGGUCCUUGUGGCACUAAUUAUGGGACUAGUGUAGCAUAAAUACUAAUAUUGCUUUUUAUUUUGUAAAUUAAUUGUUGCGUCAUAAUGUUUUUACAUACACAUUUUAUGUUUUAAAAUAUGAAUUUUUUUUUUUUGUAUUUAGGGAUAAUUUUACAAUUUCAUACUUUGUUCAAUUAUAUAUACAGGUCCUUAACGUGUUGGUUGAUGUUGAAUAUUCAAAGAUCCACAAGCUAUCAACGACAACGAAUCAAAUUAAACUAAUUAGUUAAUACAUAAUGACUGGGUUGUUUCCUAUGUUGUUAAUGAUGUAGGACGUUAUUUUAGGAUUUUAGAAUUGUAAUUUUUAGGUCUUCUGAUAUUUUCUUUUUUAAUUAAAGUUAGUGUCUUAGUUUUUUAUUUAUUUAUGUUAUAAUUAUAAUUUACUUUCUCUUUUUAAGUUAACUUAGGAAAAUAUAUUUACUGUAUUAUAAAUAAAGAGAUCUUGUUAUUACUUUAUAACUUCAACUUCAGUUAUUCAAUUAAAAACCCCUCUUUUAUAAUUUCAUUUUGUAUUAUUUAUUAAAAACCCCUCUUUUAAAGUUGUUUGAUUAGAGCAUCAUCCAGCCUUGCUUAACGCAGUAUUAAAAAUCCAUUUGAGUUUAAUCACACUUCGAUUAGAGCGUAACUUAAUUGCAUUGACUUGGUCCAGUACUUGAACGAUAUCUAGUGUUUUGCUUCCGCUAUGCCAAGGAGAAAAUUAAUUUCACCGUGAGAUAAGAGCAUUAAAAGGAAUUCAUAAGAAAUUUAAAUUAAAGCUAUAUAUGUUAAAUAUAUCGCUAGCUACUUGUUUUUGGAGGAAUUAAAACAAUUAAUAAGCUGCGAAGUGAAAAUGAAUAAAUAAAUGAAAUGAGGUUGAAAAUAAGUCUCGCCGCCUGGAUCCAAGGCCAAAACAUUCAUGAUAAGUUAGGUAAUUAAGUACAUGUUUUCAAGCUCUUCAUGAAGAAUAACGUUAUUGAAAUAAAUCACAAAGACUCCCUGCGCAAAUUAUUACAUUGAUUAAAAAAAAAAAGCCAUAUCUUUAACAGGAUCGUGACUCUCGGACUGUUAAUUACUUUAUUCCCUGCUUGGCCAACAGCUGGCCACUAAACAAAAUCAUAAAAAUUUUAAAUUUAGUCAAAUUGGUCCCACUUGAUGACAUCCUUUCCAUACAUAAAAUUGUUUAACGUCAAGGUUAAAUAUGAGAAGUUUGGUAGAGAAGGUAAAAAGGAAGUCUAUAUAAGGAGGGGAACGAGCUUUGUUUAUAGCACAAGUGAAACUCCACUUUAUUGAACGAUGGGGUCUCAAAUGGGCUGCCUCUUUGCCACUCUUUUGGUAGUAUCAGUCUCUCUUAGCUACUUGCCGUUAGAAGCCUCCGCAAACAAAUACUACUACACAUCUCCUCCCCCUCCCAAAUACAAGUCUCCACCACCACCCCCGCCACCGGUUCACAAUUCUCCACCACCACCCCCGGUUUACCUGCCCCCGCCACCUCCUCCACCAGUCUACGUGCCUGCUCCGGCACCAACUCCAAUUUUCCCUUCUCCGCCACCUCCUGUCCCCAAGUCCCCACCACCACCUCACCCUUACAUCUAUGCAUCUCCCCCUCCUCCUUACUACUACUAGAAAGUGGCCAUGAAUAGCUCAUGCUUUUAUGGUAAUCUCAUUUAUUUUUAAAACUGUACAUGUAAAGACUAGUAGUUCAGAAUUACAUUAAGCAUUUCAAUUUUAAGCACCGUGUUCUGUUUAAUUGCGUUCCUAUUGAUUAAGUGACAAAUAAAAGAGAUUGAUUAAUUUGUUCUUGUAGGAGAGGCGAAUGGUUUCCGAAUAAAGAAAGCAAGGGUUUGAUGGAAGGCUUACUUGGAGCAAGAGAGCGAUCAAUCGAGUUGCUGCGUUUUAUUCUCUUUUAUCUUUGUUUUUUAAGAAAAAUAAACUGCCACACGUAGAAACAGAAAAUUAAGUUCUUGUCAUUUUCAUGCAUAUGGAUUGUUGCUGUGUGUGUCAAUCAAAUCUCCGUUGUGUCAUUUGUAAUUUUCAACCUUUAUGCAUGCAAAUGCGAGACCUCUUACGUAUAAUAAAAUUAAUAUACUUCCAAAGAUGGUCUUAUCUUGCGUUGACUUUUUACGUUCCUUUGGUGAUGAUUUUGACGUUUGAAAUUGAUGACUAUUGUUUUUGUAAACUCUGACAUGGAUUUUUCGUGCAACUACAGAGCGCAUUAACGAGAGACUUAUCCAUGAGGGUCCAUGCAGAUCAGUGUCUAAUUAACCAAUAAUUAAUAUAACUUAAAAAAUAUAGAGUUAAUAAUUUUUAUGGGUCAUGCUCAAUUGCAGAUGUUCGUACAAAAUUUCUUGCUAAUGUAUACUUGAGUAUGAUAAUAAGUUUUAAUCAUUAUUAAUAAUUCACUUGAUAAUAUUAAACAAAUUUUCAUAUCAAUUAAGUUACAAAAUUUCUGUGACAAAUUUCCACGUACUGGAACCAUGCAAAAGGGCUUUAUUCAAGCAAAGCUGCAUAGCCGUUGGCAAUUAAAAUUAUUUAUCAAUUAAGUUAAGUAGUAAGAAUUGGAUUGUGGAUUCCAUUAAUUAUUUCAAGGAAAAUUUUAUAGAUAAUGCCGUAAUGAAAUUUACGGCAUCAAUAUCACGAUAAAUAUAAAUAUUGUAAAUUACAAAUAGAAUUAGUAAAUGUAAAGUAAAACCAGUAAAUUCAUAAAAGAUUAUUAAUUAUUUAAAAAAUUAACAUUGUGUUAUGUUUGCAAGUUUUUGUUUUGUUUACUAGUUUUAUGUUAUGUUUGCAAGUUUUUGUUUUGUUUACUAGUAAUAGAUUAAUGGGUAAUUUUUAAUUGAGUCCUCAUUAGUUCUAGAAAAACAAUUCAGAGACCAGAAGUUUACUAAAUGAAUCAAUUAAAUUCUUUCAAGUACAAACUAAUGUCAUUCAAGUCCUUAACUUAAUUGGUCAGUUAAAAAUAUUAACAACGUCGAGGACAUUUUAGUAAAACAACAAUUGAGUCGUUUCUCAUUCUUUAUUUUUGACAGGUGGAAAUAGUUUAAAGUAAACUCACUUAACCUGAUUAAGUUAAGGAUCAGUUCUUUCAAAUGAAAAAAAAAAAAAAAAAAAACCUACAGAAACUGCCAUAUUCUUCGUGUGGGAGGAGAGAUCGAGAGAACGUGGGAUGGUGCAAAAAAUGUUGUAUAAAUCUACUGUGAUUUUGACCAAAGCUUUGGUAGCAUUGAUUGAGUUCAAGUACUGGAGAGAACCUGAGUUUAAAGGUUAGUAACUCUAUUUUUUUAGUGAUUUCUGCAAGCAUUUUCUGAUAAAAAAUUUUCCGUAUUGAGUGAUCGUUGUGAAAAAUUAAGUUUUUCAAGUCUAUUUUACAAAAUGACAAACUAUGUUUAAUUAUUGGUGGAUUCUUUUUUUUGUUCAAUGUUGUAUUUUGUUAAUUUGUUGUUUUUAAUUUGCUCUUAAUGUAAUUGUUAGACCAAAUACACCAUUAUUAUACCUGUAUUCAUUUCAACAAUUUGGUAUCGUUAUAUUAAUAAGAUUGAAUUCAUUGUAUUUGCUUCUUUGUUCAUGUAAAAUUGAAUUCUAUGUAUUCUUAUGAGUGAUAAUUUUUCUAUCUAUUAGACUAAAUUCACUAUAUUCACGACUUUCUUUCUUUUUGCUGGGCUAUUUUUUCUUUUUAGUUUAUAUUUUUUAUAUGUAUUAGAUUGAAUUUGCUUUUGUACGUUUUUUUAGCCGAAUUACAUGUAUAUUUUAUUUAGGUUGAGUUUUUUUGUUGUUUGCUAAAUAAAAUUCUAUUGGUUUAUCAUUUUUUGAUGCAAUACUUUUUGUUUAAAAUUAAUGCAGGUAGCCAUGUUACCUUUUUUUCGGUUAAAAUUAAUUGGGUGAUGUAUGCGAUAUAGGGAACCAGAGGAAUAUAAGAUUAUUAGGUUGUUUCUUGAAAUUCAAGAUGUCAUGGUUGAGCAUGGACACAGUGAAAUGGAUUUGAUUGAAAUUUCUGUUGUAUUGCCAUGGACUACAAGUAGGCAGAGGAAGCUAAUUUCAAACGAUAGUGAAUUGUAUUGGGUUUUCGAGGAGUUUUUUUUUUUUUUUUAUCAAUAGUUGUCCUGUCAUUGAGUUUGAGGUGCACAUUGGGUCAGGUGGUCAGUCAUUUCAUGAAAGUGUUGUAAUAGGACCUGAAAAUCCUGUCAAUAUAGGUGUUAGUGUUAUAAUAGUGAUAAGUUUGAAAAUCCUGUGGCUAAAAAGGGUAUGCCUAGAAUAAUUGGUACUUCUUUAUUUGCCUCAAAGUUCAACACUAUGAAAUCCACCAAGAAAAAGAAUUUAUCCACUUUAACCAGCAAUCUUCAAUCUUGCCUUCAGGAUAAGCAUGAGAUCUGUCAGCACAUUGCAAUGACACUGUGGUUGGUCUGACUUCUCCAACUUCCAAUUGCUUGAAUUCUGAUAAUGUCAUAAGAUUGAUGGCUUGCUCUCAAAUCACAAAGUGUCUUGCCACUGUAUUUAGUUCCUAUGGAACAAGGAAUUGUGAAACUUCCUGGAUCCUUCAACUUCUGAGGCAUUUUACUCUGAAGCAUAUGGCUGCAUUCUUGUGUUAGAGCAACUAUUUCGAAUUCUCCAAGCCUCCACUACUAGAAAAACAGGCUACUAUGACAGAAUUUUUGUGAUAGAUAUCAGAAAAUUAGUCAUUUAUCACAAAAAUAUAACAUACAUGUGAUAGAAUUUUCAUAUAUCAACAAGGCAUGAUAGAUUUGUGAUAGUUUCUUUAUCUGUCACUUGUACAUGAUAGCAUAUUAAUAUAGUAAUGAAACGGUGAGUUUAAGAUUGGCCAAUUUGGGCAUUGAACGACACCGUGUCUUGAAGCCUUUAAAAAAAAUUCUAAGUGUUGGACACUCCUUUGAACUUCACAUAGAAAACCCUAAUUUCUACAUCCAAACUGAAUCACACAAAAAUACACCAUCACACUUGCCGCCAAUAAAUUGUUGUUGUUCGUCUUUGUCGUCAUCUUCAUCCCCACUCCACAGCUUGCUGGCUAUUCCCAUUUCCCUUUUAUAGCUUGAACAACUGAUCUUCUUCAAGUUCGAGCCACUGUUACUGACUUCUUUCGGGAGAGGUAAGUGAUUAAUUCUUUUUUUUUUUUGAAGAGACAACAAUCACCAUAAAUUUCUCAAAAUCCCUAAAAUUAUGCCAAAAAAAGGAAAAAAUAAAGCCGUUCCAUGGCCUUAAAGGACUGACUUCGAGUUCGUGGACUAACGUGCCAACGACUCCGCUUUAUGGCCUUCGUGGAACGAUUCCGUGACACGCGAGUGGCAGCGUGCUAUUUACGUGGAGUCGGAUCGGAGAAGAUUGUACUACGAGGAGUUGGCGAUGUGAGAAAGACAGCGAGUUAGCUACUACGUCUUCGACUUAGGGUAAAAUUUUGGCAGAAUUUGAACUGAAAUUUAGUGGGUUUUGAGUGGUAAGACGAGGUUUUGAGAGAGGAAAAGGAGUGUUUGGCUGGCGAGAAAGUGAGAGAAAGUUUUUGAGUGUGGAGUGAUGGCUUCUCUGUUUUUACUUCUUUAUUGUUCUUUAUUGAGUAGAUGGUGACGAUACAAACUUUUAACAUUGUUUACUUAAUUAAUUGGAUAACAAUCUUACAUGACUAUUUUGAUUUAUCAGAUAAAUCAGUUAGAGAAGAAUGGAGAUGUUGUUGCUCAGGCACGAGCAAUUACAGCAAUCUAGACACUCUGCCCCGUCUUUCUUUCAAUGUUGUUGGCACACUGAAUAAUUUCCUUAGUGACAAGUUAACCAAAUUUAGAGGUAUAUGUGAUUUUGAUUUGACUUACUCUUAAUGAAAUACAAUAAGGAUUUUUUCUGUUGUUUCUAGGCCUUUUGGAGAGUUCGGAUUGAAGCAACGUUUGCCUUAGCUAAUACAACAUCUAAGGUAUUGUUAUUAUUCUCACCUUUAUUUAUUAAAUAUAUUGAGCACAUGGUAGGUCCACCAAAAUGUAUGCAAAAUCUAUUCACCAGAGGUAUUCGCAUAAAGUGAAUUUUUGUGAGAGACUAUUCUUCAACUGUGAAAACUACUUUGGUAGUUCUCAAACCCAUUACAAUUGAUUGGUGCUUGUGUUUUUCUAUUAGAAAGAUAUCUUCUGUAAAAUCUUUGUGAACUACAUUUUUGGAAAUGCAAAUGCUUUGUGUGGUGGUGAUUGUGCUUAUUUGCUUGGUCUUCUAGCAUUUCAGUGAAAUGAUUUAUUUUGACUUGUGCUUAUGACUAACUUGUUGACAGAGAAACUAGGCCAUUUAUGGAUGCACUGAUAUGAAUCCUAUAAUUUUUCUCUUAAUUGACAUGUUGAACUUUUUGGAAGAUAUUUUUUUUUUAUUUGAUUUGUCACAUAUUGUGCUUUAUUAGUUGGAAAUGUUUUGGUUUGUGGACCAUGUUGCACUUACCAGUUCUCAAUAUUGAUAUAUGAUAUAUACACACUAUUGUACUGGAAAUUGAUUGAGUUGGUUUGCUCCAUCUGGUGAAAUUUUAUAAAAGUCGAAGGUUUGAUGAGAAUAUUGGACUCCCCAAGUGAGAAUCUAUCUAAGUUUGAAAUUGUUCUGAUAUCGUUGCUGCAGCACUUUGUUAACGUUUUUGUUUUCUGCUGAUCAUUCCAGGCCAAAUGAUAUCCGUGAUUUUUCAGAGUAUUUGUUCUUGAGGUAAUGCCUUGAGGUAAGGUAUGUAAUGAGUUGUGUGAAGUGGGAUGUGAUAAUAAUUUUGCCCUCGCUUCAUGUGAUGAAAUCCCACAUAAUUUGCCCUUGCUUUAUGUGAUGAAAUCUUUGGGUGGUUUGUUUAUUUAGUGUUUUUCUAUUUCUUUUUAUAUGCUAAUUUUCAUAGUUCUAGAGCAAGUCUUUCUCUAGUCAUUUUGAAAUACUUCCACAUGCUGCUUCUUAAGCCAAGAUUGUCUUGCCCUAAUGAACAAGUUAAAUGGAUUUGCGUUGCUUGGAGUCUCAGUGUAAUAUAUGUGUUUUAGAACUUAGAUUGAUAAACAAAUUUGAACAAAUACAGUGGAAUAAGAAUAAAGAGAAGAUUAAAAAAAAAAGAGUAGAAAUAAAGAAAAGGAUGGUGAAACUUUAGGAGAAUAGGGGAAUCAAGAGAAGAGGAUAGAAUUUUGAUGGAUUUUAUUUAAUUAUGUAACGGAGGUUUUGUGUUGUUAGAUGUUGUGCGUUAAUUAAUUUGUAAUCUUGGAAAAAUACUUUAUCAUGAAUUGGGUUAAUUGUAAGUGGUCAAUACACUAAUAUAUAUUCUUCUAGCACUCAUCUAAAUGUAAUAUGUGUUUCAGGUGAUGUUGGUGGCUCUUGGGAAUUUACUAUCAGUGUUCUUUUUACGAAUUAAUUGUUUUUCUAAUGAUGGGGUAGUGAUUGAAUAUUGUAGAGAAUUUAUGAGUUAUUCUUACGGAUUUGAUUCACCAUGUAUUUUGAUGAUACUAUUUGUUGGAAGUUUCAAGUAAUUGAAAUUUUUAGUAUAUGGUGAUAUUUGGUAUUUGAUAGUUUUUAUGAAUUUGAAUGUAAUUUUUAUUUCAGUUAAUUCAAAUUUUAAAAUGUGGGUUUUGUUAUUUCUAUUUCAAAAUUCUGGAAUUUAAAUAAUAUUAAUUAGUAUUAUUAUAAUUUCAAAAUUAAAAAUAAUAAUUUUAUUUUUUUAAACCUUAAAUCUCAUGACAGAGAAUGUGAAUCAUUAAUAUAUGAAAGAUUUUGAAAAAGCCCACCAAAUUCAAUAUAAUUUAAAUUACCUGCUAAAAUUUCCAAUUAAUUCUCAAAAGCCUUGCAAAACGACGUCGCUUGGUUCGUGACAUAUGCGUGAUAGAUAUACACUGUCACAGAAACAUGUGAUAGAUAAAAUGUUGUCAUAGAUUUAUGAAAGGGGCUACAAUGACAGAUGGAAACUCUGUCAUAAGAGGGGUCGGAUGACAGAUAUUCUCUGUCAUGAUAGCCCAUUUUUCUAGUAGUGCUCAUUUUCCUUGCCAAUAUACAUUUCCAAAACUUUACAUAAUUUGGCAUUUGUUCCAAUGCUUCCACAAAAGGAAUGUUGAUAUGCAGUUGUUUCAAUACUUCCACCACCUGUCCCCAAGUUCCCACCACCACCUCACCCUUGCGUCUAUGCAUCUCCCCCUCCUCCUUACUACUACUAGAAAGCGGCCAUGAAUAGCUCAUGCUUUUAUGGUAAUCUCAUUUAUUUUUAAAACUGUACAUGUAAAGACUAGUAGUUCAGAAUUACAUUAAGCAUCAAAUUUAAGCACCGUGUUCUAUUUAAUUGCGUUCCUAUUGAUUAAGUGACAAAUAAAAGAGAUUGAUUAAUUUGUUCUUGUAGGAGAGGCGAAUGGUAUCCGAAUAAAGAAAGCAAGGGUUUGAUGGAAGGCUUACUUGGAGCAAGAUAGCGAUCAAUCGAGUUGCUGCGUUUUAUUCUCUUUUAUCUUUGUUUUUUAAGAAAAAUAAACUGCCACACGUAGAAACAGAAAAGUUCUUGUCAUUUUCAUGCAUAUGGAUUGUUGCUGUGUGUUUCAAUCAAUUCUCUGGCGUGUCAUUUGUAAUUUUCAACCUUCAUGCAUGCAAAUGCGAGACCUCUUUCGUAUAAUAAAAUUAGGGGAUUGUCACUUUCCCCCUACAGUAAUUAACAUAUAUUAUUUAUUCUCUUACUAUUUUUAUAAUGGCCAAAAACCCACUGACAACAUAAGUUUACAAUAUUACCUUUAUUUUUAACUACUCUUUUAUUUACAUUUAUUAUAAAUUAAAUAAAUUACAUGAAUAGAAACUAAAUAAAAAAAUUAAGUAUUAAAAAUAAGAAAUAUAUGUUGAUAUGAGGAAAAAAAUUAAUAAUAAAAUUUUUUUCUUGUAAUUAUUUAUUUUGUGAACAUUUUCUUAUAACAUUUUGUAAUAUUUUAAAAUUAAAUGUAAAAAGUAUAGGCAAAAUAUUUUAUUAUUUAUCUUAUAAUAAAUUGUUAUUUGUCAUUCAAAUUUUCUUAUAAUAAUUUUUUUUAUCAUUUUAUAAUAACUUUCUUAUAUAUUUAUUAUAAGAAAAUUUUCACAAAAUAAAUAAGUACAAGAAAAAAAAUUUAUUAUUAAUUUUUUUCUCAUAUCAAAACAUAUAAUAAUUUUUUUCUCAUAUCAAAACAUAUAUUUCUUGUUUUUAAUUCCUAAUUUUUUAUUUGAUUUCUAUUCAUGUGAUUUAUUUAAUUUGUAAUAAAUAUAAAUAAAAGAGUAAUUGAAAAUAAAGGUAAUGUUGUACACUUAUGCUAUCAGGGGAAGUUUUGGCCAUUAUAAAAAUAGUAUGGGAAAAAUAGUAUAUGUUGAUUACUAUAGGAGGGAAAUUAGCAAUCUCCCAAUAAAAUUAAUAUACUUCCCAAGACCGUCUUAUCUUGCGUUGACUUUUUACGUUCCUUUGGUGAUGAUUUUGACGUUUGAAAUUGAUGACUAUUGUUUUUGUAAACUCUGCAUGGAUUUUUCGUGCAACUACAGAGCGCAUUAACGAGAGACUUAUUCAUGAGGGUCCAUGCAGAUCAGUGUCUAAUUAACGAAUAAUUAAUAUAACUUAAAAAAUAUAUAGUUAACAAUUUUUAUGGGUCAUGCUCAAUUGCAGAUGUUCGUACAAAAUUUCUUGCUAAUGUAUACUUGAGUAUGAUAAUAAGUUUUAAUCAUUAUUAAUAAUUCACUUGAUAAUAUUAAACAAAUUUUCAUAUCAAUUAAGUUACAAAAUUUCUAUGACAAAUUUCCACGUACUGGAACCAUGCAAAAGGGCUUUAUUCAAACAAAGCUGCAUAGCCGUUGGCAAUUAAAAUAAUUUAUCAAUUAAGUUAAGUAGUAAGAAUUUUAUUGUGGAUUCGAUUAAUUAUUUCAAGGAAAAUUCUAUCGAUAAUGCCGUAACGAAAAUUACACAUAAAAUUAGUAAAUGUAAAGUAAAACCAGUAAAUUCAUAAAAAAUUAUUAAUUAUUUAAAAAAUUAAUAUUGUUUUUACAUAAUUUUAGUGCAAAAUAUUUUAUUUAGUUACAAAAAAAAUUUCUUUAAUUAAACAAAAAAAUUAUACAGAAAAAAAGUGGAAUACGUUUUAUUGAAUUGGUUACCAUAAAUUCUGUAAUUAUUCUAGGACAUUUGUAUACAUUUUUUUCUCAUUUUCUAUAAUGACAUCUAUUUAUUACACAUGUUAAUUAAGCGCAAUUAUUUAUCUUGAUGUGGAUCAAGUAAAAAUAAAAGAAAAGAUAUAUCAAUCAAAUUAGAUAUAAUUUUGAAUACUAUGUAUACUUUAUGUAGUUUCAAACUUUUUACUUGUAUUUGGAGACCAUUUAAGAUUGUUGUUGAAGAAGUGUAGAAAGAUGUAAAAUAACGUCAUCUUACAACAAUUAUAAUGAUAUCUAUUUAUUACACAUGUUAAUUAAGCACAAUUAUUUAUCUUGAUGUGGAUCAAGUAAAAAUAAAAGAAAAGAUAUAUCAAUAAAAUUAGAUCUAAUUUUGAAUAGGGAGAUUGCCAAUUUUCCCCCUACAGUAAUCAACAUAUACCAUUUUCCCCCCUACUGUUUUUAUAAUGGCCAAAAACCCCCCUGAUAGCAUAAGUGUAUAUUAUUACUCUUAUUUUCAACUACUCUUUUAUUUAUAUUUGUUAUAAAUUAAAUAAAUCACAUGAAUAGAAACCAAAUAAAAAAUUAAGCAUUAAAAACAAGAAAUAUAUGUUUUGAUAUGAGAAAAAAAUUAAUAAUAAUUUUUUUCUUGUACUUAUUUAUUUUGUGAAAAUUUUCUUAUAAUAAAUAUAUAAGAAAGUUAUUAUAAAACGAUAAAACCAAUUAUUAUAAGAAAAUUUGAAUGACAAAUAAAAAUUUAUUAUAAUAUAAAUAAUAAAAUAUUUUGUCUAUACUUUUUACAUUUAAUUUUAAAAUAUUACAAAAUGUUUAUUAUAAGAAAAUGUUCACAAAAUAAAUAAUUACAAGAAAAAAAUUUUAUUAUUAAUUUUUUUUGCUCAUAUCAAAUCAUAUAGUUCUUAUUUUUAAUACUUAAUUUUUUUAUUUAUUUUCUAUUCAUGUAAUUUAUUUAAUUUAUAAUAAAUAUAAAUAAAAGAGUAGUUAAAAAUAAGGGUAAUAUUGUAAACUUACACUGUCAGGGGGUUUUUGGCCAUUAGAAAACAACAAGGGGGUAAAUGGUAUAUGUUAAUUACUGUAGAGGGGAAAGUGACAAUCCCCCUUUUGAAUAUUAUGUAUACCUUAUGUAGUUUCAAACUUUUUACUUGUAUUUGGAGACCAUUUAAAGUUGUUGUUGAAGAAGUGUAGAAAGAUGAAAAAUAACUUCAUCUUACAACAACUGUGAAAGAUAUUAAAAUAAUAUUUUUUCAAAAUCCAAUUUUUAGCAUAAAUUUCAUCCUUAAUUAAACAUCACAUGUAUUAUAUAAAUGAAAAACUAACAUUAUUCAAUUUAAAUUAAAAAAUAAUAAAUAUAUGAGGUAAUAAAUAUUAUAACGAGUUUUUAUUUUAAAAUUGUAAACUUUUGUUUCUGACAGUAACUCUUAUAUUAAUUUACUUAUUUUGCCUUUUAUUCAUAAGUUUUAUGCAUAAUCUACAAACUUUAUGUUUUAUUUUGCAUUUAAUGUUGAUUUACCUUUUUUAUAUUAUAUUUAUAAGUUUUCAUUUGAUUUACCAGUAAUACAUCAAUUUAUCAAUUUUAUAGUAAUUUACUUAUUUUACCUUCUUUUUACAAUUCUUAUGUUUCAUUUUCAAAAUUUAUGUUUUAUUUUACAGUUAUUGAUGAUUUACUAGUUUUAUAUUAUGUUUGCAAGUUUUUGUUUUAUUUACUAGUAAUAAAUUAAUGGGUAAUUUUUAAUUUAGUCCUCAUGUUUUCGAGAAAAAAAUUCAGAGACUAGAAAUUUACUAAAUGAAUCAAUUAAAUUAUUUCAAGCACAAACUAAUGUCAAUCAAGUCCUUAACUUAAUUGCUUAGUUAAAAAUAUUAACAACAUUGAGGAUAUUUUAGUAAAACAACAAUUGAGCCCUUCCUCAUUCUUUAUUUUUGACAUGUGGCAAUAGUUUAAAGUAAAUUCAAUUAACCUAAUUAAGUUAAGGAUCAGUUCUUGCAAACGAAAAAAAAAAAAAAACCUACAAAAACUGCCAUAAUCUUCGUGUGAGAGGAGAGAUCGAGAGAAUGUGGGAUGGUGCCAAAAAUGUUGUAUAAAUCUACUAUGAUUUUGACCAAAGCUUUGUUAGCAUUUGUUGAGUUCAAGUACUGGAGAGAACCUAAUUAUAAAGGUCAGUAACUCUAUUUUUUUAGUGAUUUUUGCAAGCGUUUUUUGAUAAAAUUGUUUCCAUAUUUAGUGAUCGUUGUGAAAAAUUAGGUUUUUCAAGUCUAUUUUUCUAAAUGACAAACUAUGUUUAAUUACUGGUGGUUUUUUUUUUAUUGAAUGUGGUAUUUUGUUAAUACAUUGUUUUUAAUUUGCUCUUCAUGUAAUUAUUAGACCAAAUACGCCAUAAUUAUAUUUGUAUUCAUUUCAACCAAUUGGUAUUGUUAUAUUAAUAAGAUUGAAUUCAUUGUAUUUGCUUCUUUGUUCAUGCAAAAAUUGAAUUCUAUGUGUUCUUAUGAGUGGUAAUUUUUCUAUAUAUUAGAAUAAAUUCACAAUAGUUGCUAAUUUCUUUCUUUUUGCUGGGUUAUUUUUUCUUUUUAGUUUUUAUUUUUUAUAUGUAUUAGAUUGAAUUUGCUUUUGUACUUUUUUUAGCCGAAUUACAUGUAUAUUUCAUUUAGGUUAAGUUUUUUUGUUCUUUGCUAAAUAAAAUUGUAUUGGUUUAUCCUUUUUUGUUGCAAUACUUUUUGUUUUAAAUUGAUGCAAGUAGCCAUGUUACCUUUUGUUUUUCAGUUAAAAUUAAUGGGGUGGUGUAUGAGAUAGGAUAUAGAGAACCAGAGGAAUAUAAGAUUAUUAGGUUGUUUCAUGAAAUUCAAGAAUUCAUGGUUAAGCAUGGACAUAAUGAAAUGGAUAUGAUUGAAAUUUCUAUUGUAUUGCCAUGGACUACAAGUAGGCAGAAAAAGCUAAUUUCAAACGAUAGUGAAUUGUAUUGGGUUUUUUAGGAGUUUUUUUUUUUAUCAAUAGUUGUCAUGUCAUUGAGUUUGAGGUGCACACUGGGUCAGGUGGUCAGUCAUGUCAUGAAAAUGUUGUAAUAGGAUCUGAAAAUCUUAUCAAUAUAGCGGUUGGGUGGGUAGUGAUAAGUUUGAAAAAUUUAGUGAGGAUGGCUUUAUCGGAGGGCUCUCAUCUAAUGAAGAGAAUGGUCUCUCACAUAUGUAUAAAUCCAUUGUUGAUAAUGAGUAGAAACCAAAUCCAAAUAGUUUAAUUAGUCUAAAAGUAGGAAAUACAUUUGAAUCUGUUGCAUUAUUAAGAGAGGUUAUAAUGAAGUAUGCAAUCGAAGAGGGUUUUUAGUUGAAUAGGAUUAAAAAUGAUGGUGUUAGGUAUUAUGUCAAUCUAAAAUGCACUUGGAAACUUAAUGCUUCAUCGAUGGUUGACGGGAUAACUUUUAAAAUUAGGUAUAUUAAAGGGAAACAUGAUUGUCAGAUUAAAUAAGUUAACAAAGAUGCAACAGCACAUUGGAUGAUGUACAUGUCAUAAUGAGAGAGCUAAAAGAUAAACAUAGGAUUGAAUGUGAUAAACAAGAACUAUGCAGGGCAAAAGAAAUUGCACUAAAAAACCUAGGUCUUGACCAUGUUGCUUGCUAUGGAAAGCUUUUGAAAUAUGCUCACAUUCUAAUGAAAAUGAGUAGAGGUGCUUGUGUCAAGCUAAAGUUGAUAGGCCAUUGUCAAAUAGCCUAGUUUUUCAAAGGUUUUUUUAUCAUUUCCCGCACUUAAAGUGGGGUACCUAACUGGGUGUAGACCUUUCAUAAGAUUGGAUGGGUGUCACUUGAAUGGGCCAUAUAGGGGAGUAUUGUUAUCUGUUGUUGCAUUAGAUGCUGACAGUAGAAUUUUGCCACUGGCUUUUUGCAUAUGUGAGGCAGAAAACUAUGAUAGUUGGGGUUAUUUUUUUUAUCUUUUUUGUAUGAAUUCAUUGGGGCCGAUGAUCAUAGACCUGUGACUAUUAUUAGUUAUAGACAAAAAGGUCUUUUAUGGCGACUAAAAAAAUAUUAGCCUAAUGCUAGCACUAGAUAUUGUGCUAGGCAUAUCUUUGCCAAUUGGAAGUGCAGGUUUCCUGGUUUGAAUGUGAUGGGGUUAUUCUGGAAAGCUUGUAGGGCUGCAAAUCAAUAUGACUUUGAGAGGGCAAUGAGUUAAAUUAGGGCUAAAGACCAAAAUUGUUGUUGCUUAAAGAUUGUGGGAAUAUGAGAUAUUUCCUUGGAAACCAGCAUUGGCUCUAAGUUAUUGCUUAAAGAUGUCAAACAUGUACCAUAUAUUCUUCUUAAUUUGAUCUCUACAGGCAAGCUUGAUGAUGAUGGUUAUACCAACUAAUUUGGUGAAGGAGUAUGUAAGCUCACCAAAGGCUCCUUAGUGUUAGUUAAAGAGAGGAAAGUAAACACCCUCUAUGUGUGAUAACUCUAUGAAACGAGAGUUAUUAUAGAAAUUCUAAACUUAAAUCAAUAUUACUUACAGAGUAAAUGAUGUGUUUCUAUUGUAUUUUUGUUACAUUGUGUAUAAACAUUCAUUUUAGUUUAGUCUUAAUAAAUUUUGCUUAAUUUAGAAUAAUUCGUGCUUAAAUUGUGUGCAUAAUUAUAGGUGUCUAGAAGCUCAUAUCUCAUGGAAGGAGUGUUGAUGCAAUAGGCUUGUAAAAAUGAGGAAGAACAUGGCUACAAAAGAAUUGAAACAAAUCUGGAAUAAUGUAGUGUUGUAGCCGUUCUUGUAGCAACCAUUGCUGUAGCAAUCCUGGAACAACGAUAGAGAAAAUUUAGCACGAGAUACUUGUAGAAUCAAGAUCUGCAAUUUCUUAAUUUGACUUAUGCGCGCCCUGGGCUUCUGUUUACCCUAGUUUUCAGUUAUAAAAAGAGCACGCAUCAUAUGGUAAAAGGGGCGGUGAAUUAACAGCAAAGAAAUCAAGAGGAAAAGAAUGAAAAAUCAGAAUUCAAGGGAGAACAAGUCUGCACCAGUGAAGAUAUUGGCAUAACUAUUUGGAUUCAAUUUUCAUCGUUCUUUACUUAUCCCUUUUCUUACUCUUUGAUUGAACCGAUGGAUUUCAUCGCUGAUACUUUGUUGUUUGUUUUUCUUUUCCAAAGUAUGAACUAAAUUUGAUUGUAAUUGAGUGACAAACAAUCUCAAUGGGUUCUUGACUGUUCUUAUGAGUUAUUAAAAGAUUGCUGUAGCAUUUUGCUGUAAUAGCUUAUAUUAGAAUUAUUAUUUCGGUUGACCUCCCAUUUAAUGGUUCAAGUUAAGAGAGAGCCACAAAAUGGCAUGUCUUAGUGGAAAUUAUUAGAGUAAUACUUGAUCUUAAUUUAAGUUUUCUGGAUUGAGUUUAACUUGAGCCCCAAAAGAGCCACACUUGAGUUAAGAUUUGUGAAGAACUAGAUAUAGGGAUUCACCUUAUAGGGUAGAGGGGGUGUAUGUUCAUAAUGCCAUACCUUAGGUGAAAUGACAACUGGUCAUUGUUAGAGUGCUUAAGGGUAUGAGAAGUCCAACAAGCGACAGCUGAGGAUGCAAAAUAAUUUUGCACUGUGCUGUUGGAAUUGCUGUAAUAACUGGUGUUUAUUUGAACAGAACAGUCAGCCCAUGAAUAGAGUUUGAUCAUUCAGCUACCUCAUUCUCAUUAAAUUCUUCUUUACGCAAUUCAUCUAAUUUACUUUAUUACUGCAUUUAUUUUAUUAAAAUUGUUAAUUUCGGUAGUAAUAAACUUUAAUUAGAUUUCUCUUUAGAUAAAAGAAAUUUGCACUGUCGUGAUUGCUAUAGCAUUUCUAGUAAUAUCAGUUCAUGUGGAGACGAUCUUGAAUAUUCAUCAUUUUAUUACUUGUUGUGUACACUUGCACAUGAUAUCAAUAGCAAUUGAGUUAAAUUAAAUAACAAGUUUUUGGCGCCGUUGCCGGAGAUUGAUUGUUUAUUUUUGAAGUGUGAAGUCAAUCUUGACAAAUGCCAACUUGAUCUAAUUCAUUCUAUUUAUUGACAGAUCAUGACUUGCAUGGGCAAAGGCAGAUCUGUUGAAUUUCAAUUUGAUCCUGAGAUUGAAAGGACUGUAAGGAGAUUGCGAAGAGAGUGAAGAAAUUCAAAAACUGUUUCAAAAAUGGAUAACUUGCAAGAUGUGGGAAACUUGGAUCCUCACGGGCCACUACAACCUGUCAAUGUUCAAGAGGGGCAAAUGGGCACGUUAAUCAAAGACAACCAAGCAACAACAAUAUCAUUUACAUGGAAGACGAUAGAGAUAGGGUUAUCAGAGAUUAUGUUGUGUUAACUCCUUAAGUUGUACAUCUUGGAAUAGUCAGACCUGAAGUGGAAGCCGCCAACUUUGAACUUAAACCGGUAAUGUUUCAAAUGCUACAAAUAGUGGGUCAAUUUAAUGGACUGUCAUCUGAAGAUCCUCAUCUCCAUCUUAAGUUUUUUUUGGAAGUAAGUAAUGCUUUUAAAACUGCUGGAACAACGCAUAAUGCUUUGAGACUGAGGCUUUUUCCUUACUCCUUAAGAGAUCGAGCAAGAGCAUGGUUGAAUUCCUUACCAUCUGAUUCCAUCACUACAUGGAAUGACUUGGCUGACAAAUUCUUAAUGAAAUAUUUUCCACCAACCAAGAAUGAAAAAUUGCAAAAUGAGAUCACCUCUUUUCAUCAACUUGAAGAUGAGAGCUUGUUUGAGGCUUGGGAGAGAUUUAAAGAGUUUCUCAGAAGAUGUCCUCAUCAUGGCAUUCCCUGUUGCAUACAGCUAGAAACCUUUUACAAUGGGUUGAAUCCAAGUACAAGAUUGAUUGUCGAUGCUUCAGCAAAUGGAGCCCUAUUAUCCAAAUCUUACACUGAAGCUUAUGAAAUUUUGGAGAGAAUUCCUAACAAUAACUACCAGUGGCCAUCAACUGAAAAACUGUAGCAAGAGAAGCAGCAGGGGUACAUAACAUAGAUGCAAUUACAGCACUGUCAGCUCAAGUAACAUCAUUGACUAACAUGGUAAAAGCCAUGACUUCUACUUCUACAGUAGUAAAGCAAGUUGCUGAACUAUCUUGUGUGUAUUGUGGUGAGGAGCAUGUAUUUGACAAACUGUCUAGGAAAUCCAGCAUCAGUAAACUAUGUGGGAAACUUCAACCGACAGCCCUAGAACAACCCAUAUUCAAGUACUUACAACCCUGGAUGGAAUCAACACCCAAAUUUCUCAUGGAGCAAUCAAAAUCAGCAUGCUUCAGCACCUAGUGGACAGAACAAACAUGCUCAUCCACUUGGUUUUCAUCAGCAAAAUUAAGAGCAAAAACACACUAGCCAUGAUCAAAUCACCUCAUUGGAAACACUUUUUAAGGAAUGUAUCGUAAAGAAUGAAGCAAUUGUGCAAAAUCAAGCUGUAUCUCUGAGAAACCUGAAAAACCAAAUUGGACAGUUUGCCACAGCAAUGAGUAGUAGAUCUUAGGGAAGUUUACCCAGCAAAACAGAAGAUCCAAGAAGAGAGGUAAAAAACAUUGUAAAGUAAUCAACUUAAGAUAUGGGAAGAAUGUUGAUAUUGCUGUUGAUGUGACUAAAAAGAGGUUGGAACUUAACUCCUCACAAGAACCACCUCAAGAUGAAAUGAUGUUACAGCAACCCAGCCACUAAGAUACUGGCACUAGUGGUCAAGCUACAGCAACCUUGGAAGAAAAUCACCCAAUACCUAUUGAAGAAGAUGUUGCAACACCAGUGGUGACAAAUUACAAUAAAUCAAAUGAGCAGAUAUUGGUACCUCUUGAAGUUGUACAACAAUUUAGGCAUCCACCUCCUUUCCCACAGAGAUUCCAGAAACAAAAACAAGACUAAUAGUUUAGCAAAUUCCUGAAAGUGCUGAAACAGUUACACAUCAACAUACCUUUUGUGGAAGCAUUAGAGCAAAUGCCUAAUUAUGUGAAAUUUCUAAAAGAUAUUUUAACAAGAAAAAGAAGGUUGGGAGAAUUUGAAACUGUUGCUUUAACACAGGAAUGCAGUCACAUGUUUCAGAGUAAGAUUCCUAAAAAAUUAAAGGAUCCAGGAAGCUUCACAAUAUCAUGUUCAAUUGGAACUAAGUACAAUGGCAGAGCACUCUGUGACUUGGAGCCAGCAUUAAUCUAAUGUCAUUAUCUCUAUUUAAGCAAUUAGGAGUAGACUUUGAGUCUGAUAAAGAGGUACCAAUUAUAUUUGGAAGACCUUUCCUGGCAACCAGGAAGACUCUGAUAGAUGUUCAGAAAUGAGAGCUAACCAUGAGGGUGAAUGACCAACAAGUCACCUUCAAUGUAUUAGAAGCUAUGAAGAGUCCUGAUGAGGCAGAAGAUUAUAAUUUUUUUAGUGUUGUGGACCUUGUUGUGGCAGACAGAAUAAAUAGAUGCUGCAGUAAAAAGGUUAUCAAAGCUGCCACCUUUGAAAGCUUUGAAGAAGAAAAUGUUACAGCAAACCAGAUAGAUUGGAUGGUAGAAAGGCAAUCUAAAAGACAUAGCAGAUUUAUCGAACCUCUAAAUCUUUCAAACAGGGACAUAAAGACAACUUUACCAUCUAUUGAAUCAACUCCUACUCUUGAAUUAAAAUUGUUACCUUCACAUUUGAAAUAUUCAUAUCUUGGUGAGAACAAUACACUUCCGGUAAUCAUUUCAUAUUCUUUAGAUGCAGAUCAAGAAAGAAGUCUGGUAUAUGUGCUUAGGAAAUAAAGAAAAACAAUUGGAUGGACUAUGACAGACAUUAAACGGAUCAGCCCAUCCAUAUGCAUACAUAAAAUUCUGUUAGAAGACUGCUAUAGCAAUUCAGUAGAGCAACAGAGAAGGCUAAACCCCAUUAUGAAGGAAGUUGUAAAGAAAUAAAUCAUCAAAUGGCUGGAUGUUGGGAUCAUAUACCUGAUAUCAGACAGUUCAUGGGUGAGCCCAGUACAAUGUGUUCCAAAGAAAUAAGGAAUAACAGUAAUAGAAAAUGAAAAGAAUGAACUUAUUCCUACAAGAACAAUGACUGGAUGAAGGGUAUGUAUGGAUUAUAAGAAGCUCGACAAAGCCACACGGAAGGAUCACUUCUACUUUCAUUUAUAGAUCAAAUGUUAGACAGAUUUGCUGGAAAAUAAUAUUAUUGUUUCCUAAAUGGGUAUUUAGGUUACAACCAAAUUGUUAUACCCCCAGAAGAUCAGGAAAAGACUACAUUCACCUGUCCUUAUGGAACUUUUGCCUUUAAAAGAAUGCCCUUUGGUCUGUGUAAUGCUCCAGCAACUUUCCAGAGAUGUAUGAUGUCUAUUUUCUCAGAUAUGGUGGAGCAAACAUUGGAAGCCUUCAUGGAUGAUUUCUCAGUUUUUGGAGAAACAUACACUGAUUGUUUACAUAACUUGGAAGAAGCUCUUAAAAAAUGUGAGAUGACUAACUUAGUACUCAAUUGGGAAAAAUGCCACUUCAUGGUGCAAGAAGGCAUAAUGUUGGGUCAUAGAGUGUCCAAGAAUGGCAUAGAGGUAGAUAAAGCAAAAAUAGAAGUGAUAGAUAAACUGCCACCUCCCACUUCAGUCAAGGGUAUUAUAAGUUUUUUGGGACAUGUUGAAUUCUACAGAAGAUUCAUAAAAGACUUCUCCAAAGUAGCUAAACCAUUAUGCUCACUACUAGAACAUGACAAGCCUUUUCAUUUUGAUAAAGACUGUCUUUAAGCUUUUAAAGAAUUGAAGAAAAUUUUGAUCAUUGCACCAAUGGUUAUAACACUAGAUUUGACUCUAUCUUUUGAGCUGAUGUGUGAUGCCAGUGACCACUCUGUUGGGGCAGUGCUGGGGCAGAGAAAGAAUAAGAUUUUCCACUCUAUAUACUAUGCCAGUAAAACUCUUGUUCAAGCUCAGAUUAAUUACACCACUACAGAAAAAGAGCUGCUAGUAGUAGUAUUUGAUUUCAAUAAGUUUAAAGCUUACUUGGUGGGUACUAAAGUGACAAUCUACACAGAUCAUGCAGCCAUCAAGCACUUAAUCUCAAAGAGAGAUGCCAAACCAAGAUUAAUAAGAUGGGUAUUAUUGCUUCAAGAGUUUGAUUUGGAAAUUAAGGAUAGAAAGGGGACUGAAAAUCAAGUAGCAAACCAUCUAUCGAGGCUGAAAGCAAAUACGAGCACAUUGACUAAACAAGACAUCACUGAAACAUUUCCUGAUGAACAACUGUUAGUGCUAUAACAUGCACAGAUGCUACAGCAACCGAGAUCUCCAUGGUAUGGAGAUUUUGCUAACUACUUAGUAAGUGGAUUGCUACCACCUGGGUUGAAUUUUCAGUAGAAAAAGAAAUUUCAUUUUCAGUAGAAAAAGAAAUUUCAUUUUCAGUAGAAAAAAAAUUUUCAUUUUCAGUAGAAAAAAAAUUUUCAUUUUCAGUAGAAAAAGAAAUUUUCAUUUUCAGUAGAAAAAGAAAUUUUUUCAUGAUGUUAAAAGCUACCAGUGGGAUGAUCCAUACUUGUAUAAGUUAUGCUUAGAUCAGGUAAUCCGAAGAUGUGUUUCAGAGGAAGCAAUUUCACAUAUACUGCAAUAUGGCCAUGCUGCAGCAUAUGAAGGACAUUUUGGUGGACAAAGAACAACUGCUAAAGUUCUACAAUCAGGUUAUUACUGGCUUUCUAUUUUUAAGGAUACUUAUGAGUUUGCUAAACGUUGUGACAGAUGCCAAAAGACAGGAAACAUAACUCAAAGACAUGAAAUGUCAUUAACAAACAUUCUGGAAGUGGAGAUUUUUUAUGUAUAGGGAAUAGACUUCAUGGGCCUUUUCCCACCAUCCUUUGAGAAUUUUUAUAUCCUGGUUGCUGUGGAUUAUGUCUCCAAGUGGGUAGAAGCUGCAGCAUUACCUAUCAACGAUGCAAGAGCAAUAGUGAAUUUUCUUCAGAAAAAUAUUUUUUCCAGGUUUGGCACUCCACGAGCAAUUAUUAGUGAUGAGGGUACUCAUUUCUGCAACAAAGCAUUUGCUGCAGCAAUGGCCAAAUAUAGAGUCAAACACAAAAUUGCGACAGCAUAUCACCCACAAUCCAAUGGCCAGGCAAAAGUAUCUAAUAGGGAAAUUAAGAAGAUUCUAGAAAAGGUAGUGAAUCCUUCAAGAAAGGAUUGGUCAUUGCGAUUACAUAAAUCUUUAUAGGCUUUCAGAACAGCAUAGAAGACACCACUUGGCAUGUCUCCCUACCAAAUUGUGUAUGGAGCACAAAGCAUAUUGGGCACUGAAGCAAUUAAAUUAGGAUAUACAUGCUGCAACAGAGCAGAGGAAACUUCAACUAUGUGAACUUGAUGAAUUACGGUUAUUCUCAUAUGAAAAUGCAAGAAUCUAUAAGGAGAGAACAAAACAAUGGCAUGACAAGCACAUCCAAUAAAGAAAAUUAAUCCCUGGUCAACUAGUUCUGCUCCAUAAUACUAGGUUAAGACUAUUUCCAGGAAAGCUGAAAUCUAGAUGGUCUGGACUUUUCAAGCUGCUCAGAAUUUACCCUCAUGGGGCUGUUGAACUCUUAGAUGGAAAGACAGGCCAAGAAUUCAAAGUUAAUGGGCACAGAGUUAAGCAUUACAUGCAUUCAGUUACAGAUUGUUCAAAUGAGGUCGUACUCCUUAGUAAACCGGCAUUGUGAGCAUUCAAGAAAGGUCACGUUGAAGGACCUUAAAUCAAACAUUGAAUGGGAGGCAACCCAUUGCUGAGGCAGUCAUUUCAAAUGAAGUGGAUCCUCCAUGUUUUUGUUGUAGUAUUUAUUUAUUUAUUAUUUUUCUUAGUUAGGAUUGUUUAAUUUUUAUCUUUUAUUGUUUUAUUUUAAAAAAAAACGAAACAUGCCAAGUCACGCAAUUCUUAGAGUUGGAUUCAAUACUGACAAUUGGUGUUGUAAUAUUAACAGGUUACAAAGGCAAGUUACUUGACAGCAACCAUCUGAGGAGAUUGUUGUGCAGAUUGCUAGAGCAUACAUUUUGUUGCUGCAACAACCAAUUUUAUUAUUACAGUAACUUAACUACGGAGCCUCACAUUUUACCGUUGGAGAUAACAUGUGACAGCUAGUUGGGUGAACUCAGAUAAAGAUUGGGGAAGAAUGCAUAAUCUCUUAAAUAACUGCAUCAAUAUCUCUUUCCUAUUUUUAUGGGAUAUGCUUAAUAAAUUCAAAAAUUCUUCCCUAAUUUAUCUCUUUUACCAAAUUUAUUUUAUUUAUUUUGCACCUAUAUAAGAGUUUCAUUGUGCAUGUUGACCUCUAACACUAUUUUCUUUUCCCUUCACAGUCACAACCCCUCUAUUUUAUAACCUCUGCUCUUCGUUUCACUCUUGAACAUAUUACCACAGUUAUCCUACUACUGCAGUAAUGCCAAGGUAUAAAAGGACAGCCAGCCGACUAAACGAUCUAUCACAAUUUUAAAGUUACCAUGCGGAAGAGAAGUAUGAAGAAUUUAUUGAACCGCGCAAGAUUUUGGAAGAAAAAGGGCUUCAGUUCCCACCUCAACCCUCUAGAAUUGUGCAAUCAUUAUACGAUGCUGCAGCAAAGCACGGGUGGCUGGAGUUUUGUAACCACCCCCGAGAUCCUGUGUUGGAGCUAUUUGCAGCACUUGGAGGACCACCUACACCAAUUUGUUGUAUAUAUAAAAGUACCCAUAACAAUUUCCCUGAUUCACUGCUACAACAGUACAAUUUUGGUACCUCCAUUAUAGAAGUCAGUGAAGAUGUUGCUGACACAGAUAAACAUGAGGAAGAAACAGCAGCAGAACAGCAAGCAGAUGCUGAUAUAGAUGCUGAUAACCAGUCAGACCAGCAUGAAGAAUAAUGUGUCCAGUCUACAAUUGAUAGUUCCCCGACAGAGGAGGAGGAAAAGCAUGAGAAAGAACUCGAAGAACCCUCAGCCAGGACCUUUUCCAAGUCCAGGAAAAAGCACAUCAUACGAGAAAAGGAAGAUGAACCUGCAGAGGAGCCUCCCAUUCCAUUCCUCUCUCGAAAGGGCAAAGAGAAAGUAAUUACCCCUCCUGCAUCUGACGAUGAAGCCGAGCACAUUGAUGCAGAAUUGGAAGUUGCAGCAGCCAGGGUUACUCGUACACCCAUCGAGACAAAGCAUAUGCUUGAUAUCAUUGCCGCAAUCAUGACUGAGGGGUAUACAGUCGAAGACCCAACUCCAGCUCCCUCACGGCAAACCCCCAGCAAACCUAUUCUCGCUAGUCCUAAAGGACCCAGCAAAAGAAAGGGGGGCACUUCUGGAGGCAUUGCUGCAGUAGACACACCAGAGCCAAAGAGGACCAUAUCUGUUUUGUCCCAGCCAGCUGCACCCACUGCAACUCCUCCUACUAGCCCAUCGCAAAGAAAGAAAAAGUCAUUGCCAACUACCUCACCGCAAGAAUCUCCUAAAGACCGACUGCGGAGCGCCUCCAAAAAGCGGUGAAUUGGUUAUAAUUUAUUGCAGCAGUAUUUCUAGCACCAGGGGAGUACCACUACCCGCUAGUUUAUUUUACUUCUUCAUGCAACAACUUUUUCUUCAUUUAGUUUUAAUUUUCUGAUUUAUUUUGCAUGUCUUUUUAUUUAGUAUAUGCAUAUCUGGUUUAUAUGGUUUUGUUUUGUGUGCCUGUGAAGACACAACACCUUUCAAGUUUUGGGGGGUUGUGCUAUCAUAUAGUGUGUUAUUGAGUGCAUUGCAUGUGUUGUGGUGUUGUUUGUGAAGUGAAGCUCUGUAUCUACUGCUUAUGUAUGGAUUUGAAAGCCUAAUGAAGAUAAAUUGAGUGUUACUCAGUAUGUAUGAGAAUGCCCAGUAGGGAUAGUCAUAGAUGGAGAUUGAAAUUAUGUCCCGACACUUAGACUUUGGUUGAAAUUCAUGAGACUGCUGCAGCAAAAUCAAGAAAACUGCAAAGAGUAGAAAAUAUAUCAAGUUUAGGGGAAAUGUGUGUGUUGAGUUGUGCUUAUUAAAGUCUGUUCCAAUGGCUUAAAUGGUUGAGUAACUACGGCUGAGUAUGUACCCCAUAUGCAGACUUGAGUUAAAAAGCAACAAGAGUUAUGAGCAUUGUUGUAGCAAUUGAAAAAAAAAAGAAAAAAAAAAGAAGUCCUCUGUCUGAGAAAUUGAGUAGCCAUGUCUGUUAAUGAGCCCCAUGUUCAGCCUUGAGUUAAAGAUAUCUUUAGAUAAGACUAUGUUAUGACCAUUGCUAUAGCAACUCUGACAUGUACGUUGAGUAAGUAAUUGGGUGUCAUCAUUACAAGUGAUAGGCAUUCACAUGAAAGUUCAAUGUUGUAUUGAAGGGAGUGAAUAUAUAGAUAUAUAUAUAUAUAUAUAUAUUGUUUGUUGAAGCACAAUUUAUGUUUAUUUGUGAAUUAUGCUCUCCCAUAUAUGAAUAUAUUUGUGUUCUACCUUUGAAUUACAUGCAAUAUCUCUGUAAUGUUGUAGCAUCUCUGGACUUUGAUCAAAGUGGCACACACAUUUUGGACAGAAUGCAGCCUAAGUCUAGAACUGAACUGUUAUGGCUAUUUUGCAUGAUUAAGAGUGUGAUCUGAGGGUGGAAGAAUCCUUGCAACUUUGAUGAUAAAGCUGAGCUAUUUGUUGCAUGAUUGAGUGAUUGAAGUGUUAGCAUUGUUGUCAUUACUUAAAAACAAGUAAUGGUUUAAGUUUGGGGGUGUGAUAACUCUAUGAAAUGAGCGUUAUUAUGGUAAUGCUAGAAUUAAAUCAAUAUUUACUUAGAGAGUAAAUAAUGUGUUUCUAUUAUAUUUUUCUAUUGUAUUUAAUAAAUUUUACUUAGUUUAGAAUAAUUUGUGCUUAAAUUGUGUGCAUAAUUGUAGGUGUCCAGAAGCUCAUAUCUCAUGGAAGGAGUGCUGAUGCAAUAGGCUUGUAAAAAUGAGGAAGAACAUGGCUACAAAAGAAUUGAAACAAAUCUGGAACAAUGUAGUGUUGUAGCCGUUGCUGUAGCAACCAUUACUGUAGCAAUCCUGGAACAACGACAGAGAAAAUUUAGCGCGGGAUACUUGUAGAAUCGAGAUCUGCAGUUUUCUAAUCUGACUUAUGCGCGUCUUAGGCUUUUGUUUACCCUAAUUUUCAGUUAUAAAAAGAGCACGCAUCAUAUGGUAAAGGGGGCGGUGAAUUAACAUCGAAUAAAUAAAUCAAGAGGAAAAGAAGGAAAAAUCAGAAUUCAAGGGAGAGCAAGUUUGCACUAGUGAAGAGAUCGGCAGAACUAUUUGGAUUCAAUUUUCAUCAUUCUUUACUUGUCCCCUUUCUUACUCUUUGAUUGAACCGAUGUAUUUCAUGGCUGAUACUUUGUUGUUUGUUUUUCUUUUCCAAAGUAUGAACUAAAUUUGAUUGUAGUUGAGUGACAAAUAAUCGCAAUGGGUUUUUGACUAUUCUUAUGAGUUGCUGAAAAAUUGAUGUAGCAUUUUGCUCUAAUAGCUUAUAUUACAAUCAUUAUUUCGGUUGACUUCUCAUUUAAUGGUUAAAGUUAAAAGAAAGCCGUAAAAGGGCCUGUAUUAGUGGAAAUUAUUAGAGUAAUACUUGAUCUUAAUUUAAGUUUCCUAAAUUGAGUUUAACGUGAGUGCCAAAAUAGCCACACUUAAGUUAAGAUUUGUGAAGAACUAGAUAUAUGGAUUCAUCUUGUAGGGUAGAGGGGGUGUAUGUUCAUAAUGUCAUACCUUAGGUGAAAUAACAACUGGUCAUUGUUAGGGUGCUUAAGGGUAUGAGAAGUCCAACAAGAGACAGUUGAGGAUGCAAAAUAAUUAUGCCCAUGAAGAGAGUUUGAUCAUUCAGCUACCUCAUUCUCUUUAAAUUCUUCUUUACGCAAUUCAUCUAAUUUACUUUAUUACUGCAUUUAUUUUAUUAAAAUUGUUAAUUUCAGUAGUAAUCAACUUUAAUUAGAUUUCUCUUUAGAUAAAAGAAGUUUGCACUGUCGUGAUUGCUGUAGCAUUUCUAGUAACAUCAAUCCAUGUGGAGACGAUCUUGAAUAUUCAUCACUUUAUUACUUGUUGUGUACAUUUGCAUAUGACAUCAAUAACAAUUGAGUUAAAUUAACCAACAAUGUGUUAGAAGCCAAGAUUAAGAAAGAAGAUGUGAAUGUGGCUAUAAAAGAUUCUGACAUUGAGACAUGGUAUAAAAAGUUUGGUCACAUUGGUGAAAAAGGGUUAGAAACUCUUGCCAGAAAAAGAUUUCUACCCAGCUUCGUAGAUAUGUCCCUCAAGACUUUUGCUCAUUCCUUAGCUGGAAAGACACACAGAGUAGCUUUUAAAAGGUUUUCUCCAUCUAGAAAGUCGCAAAUCCUUGAUUUGAUUCACACUGAUUUUUGCAUGAUGUAAAGUAGAUCAAUUGGAGGUGCACUUUAUUUUGUUACUUUUAUUGAUGACUAUUCUACAAAGGUGUGGGCUUUUGCUUUGAAAUCUAAAGAUCAAGUGCUUGAUAUAUUUAAGUUCUUCCAUACUUAUUUUGAGAGAGAGACGAGAAGAAAAUUAAAAUGCGUCAGGGUAGAUAAUGGUGGUGAGUAUAAAAGGCCAUUUGACCAAUAUUGCAGAUCCCAUAGAAUUAGACUUGAGAAGACCGUACUAAAACCCCACUGUAGAAUGGUAUUGCAGAAAUGAUGAACAGAACAAUUGAAAAGAGAGUCAGGUGUAUGCCUUCUGAUGCCAAGCUUCAUAAAUCCUUCUGGGCAGAGACUAUGCGUUCUGCAGUUGACUGGAUUAAAUUUUUCUCCUUCAGCUCCAUUGAUGGUGAUGUACCUGAGAUAGUUUGGACUGAAAUAUAUGUUUAUUACAAACACUUGAGAGUGUUUGGUUACAGAAUAUAUGUUCACAUUCAUAAGGAUGAAAGAUCGAAGCUUGAUGACAAAGCUAAAAAAUGCAUUUUCUUAGGCUAUGGGCAUAAAGAAUUUGGGUACAGAUUAUGGGAUCCAGUGCCAAGAAAAUUGAUCAGAAGUAAACAUGUUGUGUUCCUCGAAGAUCAAAUAGUUAGUGAUGCAGAGAAUAGUGAUGAGUCUCAGUCAUCUCUAAAGAUUCCUAUUAUUCUAACUUUAGUUUCUUCAUCUAUAGUUCAUAAUGAUCAUGGAGGAGCUGGAGAGGAUAGUAAUGAUGGUCCAGCAGAACUAGUUGACCAAGCACCUCCAGAACCACCUGCACCAUCAAUGGAGCCUGAAUUGAGAAGAUUUACUAGAGAACGGUGACCUUCCACCAGAUAUCCUCCACAUGAGUAUAUGAUGCUUACAGAUGAAGGGGAGCCAUAAUGUUUUGAAGAAGCCAUGUUUCAAAUAACUCACAAUAACGAUACAAGGCUAGACUGGUUGAUGGGGUACCUAGCAACUUCUUGUUGUGUGGGCUGAUCAGACUUUACUUUCUUAGUUUCUGAUUCUUCUUAUGCUUGCAUUGUUACAGCAUAUACGGAGGGUUGUGCCUUUUUACGCUUGUUGGAUGCCCUAGGAGUUCUGCUAGGAGAUUUGAUGGGAGGUUGUUGAGUAAUGCUUACUGUAGUAGUUUCCCCAGAUGUGAUUUUAGCAAUAAUAUCAGGGAAACUCUUAUUUGCUUCAUCAGUUUUUGUAGCCCUGGUAUCAGCUGCUUUAAUUUCUGCAUCAAUAUCAUCUUGAUCAUUGUCUGAUUCUUCAUCAGUCAGAACUUUUUGUUUACCUUUACUUAGAAACACUGUAAUCGGGGGUUCAUCAUCCUGCCCAUCCUAUGUCUCAUCUUCGUAAACUUUUAUGAUGUGCUUCUUUUUACGUUUAGGAGGUACUACUGGAGGUGCCUCAUCCUUCUACGUUGCUGAUUCGUCUUCUGUACUAUAUUCCUCCUCUAUUUCUUCUUAUUAUUUUUCCUUCUUCUCUUUCUCUUCCUCUGCUGGUAGUGGGUCUUUUUCAGAUUCUAAUUCUUCUUCACUCUCUGCUGCUGCCUCAACUACUGGAGCAUCCCUUGUUAAUGUUUGGAAAUUAAACGGCUACAACAAGGAGUCAUGGAAAUCUUUGCUCUUUUUCUUCAUGUAGACUUCAAACUAAUGUCUAUGGUUUUCAAGGUGCAUUAAAUAAUUCCUGAAUCUUUGAUUUUGUUCUUUCCAUGCGUGUACACAUUCAUUAAUGGUGUCACUUAAUUCUUGCAGCUUCAUCUCAAUGCCAGUAACGUUCAUUGCUCUGGUCACAACAACAUACUCUGGUGUUGCUGUAGUAGUAGUUUCCCUAGCAAUUCUUUCAACAAUUCGAUCAGUAAGAGCUCAUUCAUUCUUAAUGCUUUCAUCUUUUGCUGAUAUUUUCACCCGAAAUACCAGACAAAUCCUAGUAAUGAGUGAGCGAAACAACAAAGCAGCAAUCUUGUGAUUUUUCAUGGCACACUCUAAUCUCCCUCUCUAUAAUUUUCCUCACAUCAAUUGGUAUACCCUUGAAAAUGGCAUAUAAUAGGUAAGAUUUUCAUGAGAUACGGUGGUGGUGUAUGUGGUGGGUAUCAAUCGAGAUUUUAGAAAUUUUACCCACACUUUGGCUACUGGUUUCAAAUCAAUUCUAUUCACUCCUCUGCCUUCCUCAUUCAACCAUGAACUACCCUCCACCAUAAGGAUUUCAAGCACAUCACUUCACUCCUUAGCAAUCAUAUUCUCAAUCAUUUUUGAAUACUCACAAUCAAUAUCAUAUGGUAAAUUAUAAAAAAGCAUUGAUUACCCUCGGAUCUAAAGGGACUUGAACAUUCCUUACCACUAUUGUGCAUUGGUCUUGCCGCAACAUGUUGGAGUAAAAUUCCUUAACGAUUGGGAGCACAAGGUCUCGUGGGUGAGUGUAAAAAUCUAGCCAUCUUUUCUUUGCUACAGCAACAUAGAUUGUGUUGAUUGUUCCUGAUGGUUGUUGAGGGAAUUGAAAAUCAUUUUCCUCUAAAAUCUUCUUAGGCUCUAUAAAUUCUUCAAAUUAUCCUCGGCUUUGUCACUAUGGAAGCGUGAGGGGUCCUUUAGUCGAGCAGUUGUCUUCUUGUACCACGUUAUUGCUAGAGCAACAAAACUGAGUUGUUGGGUACCUAAAAAAGAAAAAACUCAUGAAAGUGACUCUAAAGUAUGUGGAGAACUGUGGACUAGAAGAGAAAAAAUUUGGAUAAGAAUGAAAAGAAGCAUUGUGAAACCCUAAUUUAUAGGUCACGGUAAAAUAGAAAAAAAUAAUUAAUGAGGUAAAUUUAGAAAUUGUAUUUGAAAUUUAAAAUAAAUCCACAUUUACGUUCGGGAAUUUAGGGAUUAUGUAAUCCAUUCUUAUUUUUUAUCUUGAUUUCUUGAGCCAUCUAUCAAAAAUUUACUCCCAACGGUGCAAAAAUACUUUCCAUAGUUAUGUCACUAUAACGGUAAGAAUCAUUGCUACAACAAGUAAUAUAGUGCUGCAGCAACUGCGAUAAAGUCCCUAGUUUGAUGAGAACCAUUGUUCAACUGUCAUAUAAAGUGUAAUGCUGCAACAUCUUGUGUCAGUGUUUUAUCCAAAAAAAAUUCAUUAUUAUUUAUACAUGCCGUAAUAAAAUAAUAGACACAAAUAAAUUAGAUAAAAACUUCAAAAUAUCAACAACCGUAAAGAAAAACAUGAAAACUAAAUUUAAUGUUAAAGGAAAAAUUGAAAUAACUCCCUUAAUCAUUGGGUUGCCUCCCAAUUAGCACUUUAUUUAAGGUCUUUCAGUCUGACCCCCCUUAAUUGCUCAAACUGGAUUUAUGAGGCACAAAUCCUCCCUUGAAUGGUGAAAAUCAUCAUUAAUAUAGUGUUUCACCCGCUGCCCAUUUACUAUAAAUUCAAUGCUAGUUCUCUCAUCUUUGAGGUCCACAGCCCCAUGAGGAUGGAUUUUGAUAAGUCCAAAAGGCCCUGACCAUCUAGACUUUAACUUUCCUAAAAAAAAGCUUUGAUCUAGAGUUGUAGAGCAAAACUCAUUGACCUAGAAUUAAAUCCCUUUGCUGGAUGCGUUUAUCAUGCCAUUGUUUUGUUUUGUCUUUGCAAAUCCUUGCGUUAUCAUAAAAGAACUAUCUUAAUCUUUAAACUCACAAAGUUAAAACUUCCUAUGCUCUGCUGCAACAUGCAUGUCCAUGUUCAGUUGUUUUAGCGCCCAAAAUGCUUUAUGCUCUAGCUCCAGUGGCAAAUAGAAAGCUUUGCCAUAUAUAAUUUUAUAUGGUGACAUGCCAAGUAGUAUUUUGUAAGCUGUGCGAUAUGCCUGUAAGGAAUCAUGUAAUCUAAAAGACCAAUAUUUUCUAGUAGGGUUCACCACUUUUUCUAAAAUCCUUUUUAUUUCCUUGUUGGACACUUCUGGCUGACCAUUAGAUUGAGGGUGAUAUAUUGUAGCAACCUUGUGCUUAAUUCUAUAUUUGGCCAAUGCUGCAGCAAAUAUUCUGUUGCAAAAAUGAGUGCUUUCAUCACUGAUGAUGGCUCUAAGAGUCCCAAAUCUUGUGAAAAUGUUCUUUUAAAUGAAUCUCACCAUGGCUUUGGCAUCAUUUGUUGGUAGUGUUACAACUUCCGCCCAUUUGAACACAUAGUUUAUAGCAACUAAAAUGUAUAAAUCCCCAAAAGAGGGUGGGAAUGGACCCAUGAAAUCCAUCCCCCCAACAUCAAAUAGCUCAACUUCUAAAAUGUUGGUUAAUGGCACUUCAUGUUUUUUAGAGAUGUUCCUUGUUAUUUGGCACCUGUCACAACAUUUAACAAACUUAUAAGCAUCUUUAAAAAUAGAGGGCCAGUAAUAACCUGAUUGUAUAAUUUUUUUACUGCUGGUCUGUGGCCUCCAAAAUGGCCUCCAUAUGCUACAGCAUGACAUGAUUGCAGUAUGUUUGAAAUUUCUUCAUCAGAUACAUAUCUUCUAAUCAUAUAGCCUGAGCAUAUCUUGUACAAAUAAGGUUCAUCCAACUGAUAACUUCUAACAUCAUUAAGAAAUCUCUUCUUCUAUUGGUAACUUAGAUUAAGUGGUAACAAUCAGCUCACCAAGUAAUUAGCAAAAUCUACAUACCAUGGAAGCCCAGAUUAUUGUAGCAUAUGUGUAUGCUUUAGCAUUAACAAUUGCUCAUUAAGAAAUGUCUCUGUGAUCUCUUGCUUGAUUAGAGUGCUUUCAUCUGCUUCCAGCCUUGAAAGAUGAAAUUCUCCUUGGUUCUCAGUCCCUAUUCUUUGUUUAAUCUCGAAGUCAAAUUCUUGUAGCAAAAGGAUCCACCUUAUCAACCUUGGUUUGGCAUCUUUUUUUUAAAAUCAAAUACUUUAUGGCUAAGUAAUCUGUGUAAACAGUCACUUUGGUGCCAACCAAAUAAGCUCUAAAUUUGUCAAAUACAAAGACAAUUGCUAGUAACUCAUUUUUCAAUGGUAGUGUAAUUAAUCUGAGCAUCAGCUAAAGUUUUGUUAGCAUUAUAAAUAGAGUGAAAAAUUUUGUUCUUUCUUUGCCCUAACACUGCUCCAACAGAGUGGUCGCUGGCAUCAGAUAUCAACUUAAAAGGUAAGUUCCAAUCUGGUGUUAUAACAAUUGGUGCUGUAGCAAAAGCUUUCUUCAAUUCUAUAAAAGUCUUUAAACAAAGCUUACCAAAAUAGAAAGGCCUAUCAUGCUCCAGCAGCUAGCAUAAGAGUUUUGAUAAUUUAGAAAAUCCUUAAUGAAUGUUAUAUAGAAUUAUGCAUGUCCCAAGAAAUUCCUAAUGCCUUUAACUGAAGUAGGUGGUGGGAGUUUACUAUUUUGACCUUCUCCACUUAUAUUCCUUUUCUAGAGACUUUAUGGCUUAGGAUUAUCCCUUCUUGUACCAUAAAAUGACACGUUUCCUAAUUCAACACUGAAUUUAUCUCCUCACAUAUUUUAAGCAUAUUUUCUAGAUUAUGUAAACAAUCAUCAUAGAUCUCCCCAAAAAUCGAAAAGUCAUCCGUGAAUACCUCAAGCGUUUGCUCUACCAUAUUUCAAAAAAUAGACAUCAUACACCUCUGGAAUGUUGCUAAAGCAUUGCACAAACUAAAGGACAUCCUUCUUAAAUCCUUCUGAAAUAAGCAAAAGUUUCAUAAAGACAAGUGAAUAUUGUCUUCUCCUUAUCCUCUAGUGCUAUAGCAAUAUGGUUGUAGCCAGAAUACUCAUCCAAGAAACAGCAGUACUUUUUUCCAACAAGUAUGUCUAGCAUCUAAUCUAUGAAAGGCAACGGGAAGUGAUCAUUCCUUGUGGCGUUGUUUAGCUUCCUAUAGUUCAUGCAAACUCUUCAUACAGUUACUGUUUUGUGGGAAUAAGCUCAUUCUUCUCAUUUGUUGCAAUAGUCACUCCACCUUUCUUUGGAUCACAUUGUACUGGACUCACUCAGGAGCUGUCGGAUAUUGGGUAGAUGAUUCCAGCAUCAAGUCAUUUGAUAAUCUCUUUCUUGGUCAAUUUGGGUGAGUACUUGCUAGCAAUCCUCUAGCAAUUAAUUUGAAUUCUUAUAGCUAUUUGACAACUAUUAAUUUAUGUUUUUAUAUUUUCAUAUUAAAUAUAUUUAUUUAUUUAUUUUGAUAAAUUUUUAAAAAAUCAUUACUUAAAUUUAAUUAAUGAAAUAUUUUAAAAAAAUAUUAAAUUGAUAAAAUAAAAUUAUAAAUAAUAACUAUUUGAUGACAUUAAACAAGUUAAAAAGUUAAAGGGGUAAUUUUAAAAGCUUUGAUUUCCAAAAGAAGAAGAAUUUGAAUUCUUCAAUUCUUUGUAUAAAAUUCAAAUUCUAUAUUAGGAUGAAUAGUAAAUUCUAAUAAAAUUUAAAUUCUUAUAUAUUUUGUCCAACCAAACAAUUAAAAAAAAAAAUUCAAAUUACUUUCCUAUUCUCUAUCCUCACCUCCCAACCAAACACCAUCUAAACUCCUUAAUAUGCCACCCACAUAUUCAAACACCUUUGAGAAUCAAAGUAUCCCAGAUCUCCAGUAAGGAACCACCCAAAUUGAAAAGUAGUCUUAUUAGCCUCAGGAUUACCUUUAAUCAAAGUAUCCCAGAUCUUGCUAGCAAUCCUCUAGCAAGAUCUUGUACAUACAUAUGGAGGGGCUGAUUCAUUUGAUAUCUUUCAUGGUCUAUCUAAUGGCCUUCUUGUAUCUCCCCAACAUUUCCACUCAGCUCUUUACUUGAUCUGCAUUCAAAGAAGAUGAAAUGAUUACAUGUAGUGUGUUAUUAUCACCAAGAUAAACAUAUUUUAGAUGUGAAGGUAGAAGUUUUAAGUAUAAAACAUGAGGUAAUUCAAUAGAUGGUACAGCAGGUUUCACUUCCCCAUUUGAAAGAUCUAGAGACUCAAAAUGUCUGUUUGUCCUCACAGGUCGCUUCUCUCUUAACUAUGCUAUAUGCGUUGCUGCAGCAUCUUCAUCUUCAAGUUCUUCAAAUGUGGCGGCCUUGAUUUCUUCAUUGUUGCAGCAAUUAUUUAAGAUGUCUGUGACAGUAAGCUUCACAGCACCGACCAAAUCACAAUCUUCAACUUCAUCAAGACUCAUCAUUGCUUCCAAUACAUUAAAGGUAACUUACUGAUCAUUAACCCUCAUACUCAACUCUCAUUUUUUAACAUCAAUUAAAGUUUUUCCUGUGGCUAAAAAGGGUUUGCCUAGAAUAAUUUGUACUUCUUUAUCUGCUUCAAAGUCCAACACUAUGAAAUCCACUGGAAAAAUGAAUUUAUCCACUUUAAUCAAUACAUCUUCAAUUUUGCCUUCAGGAUAAGCAUGAGAUUUAUCAGCAAGUUGCAAUGUCACUGUGAUUGGUCUGACUUCUCCAACUCCCAAUUAUGUGAAUACUGAUAAUGGCAUAAGAUUAAUGCUUGCUCUCAAAUCACAAAGUGUCUUACUAUUGUAUUUAGUUCUUGUGGAACAAAGAAUUUUAAAACUUCCUGGAUCCUUUAACUUCUAAGGAAUUUUACUUUAAAGUAUAUGGUUCCAUUAUUGUCUUAAAGCAACUAUUUUGAAUUCUCCAAGCCUUUUUUUUCUUGCCAAUAUAUCUUUAAAAAACUUCACAUAAUUUGGCAUUUGUUCCAAUACGUCCACAAAAGAAAUUUUGAAAUGCAGUUGUUUUAAUACUUCCAAUAAUUUACUAAACUGCUUGUCAUGUUUUUACUUCUGAAAUCAUUACGGGAAGAUUUCCCCUUGGGUAUAAUUAGGUUAUGUUCUUCUUUUUGGUACUUUAACUAAAAUAUGAACAUCCUUUUCAGACCUUAAGUUAAUCACCUUGCAAUGCUCUUUUCUUUCUCUUCUUGGAUCCUCUGUAUUGCUUAGUAAAUUGCCCUAAGGUAUGUUGCUCAAUGCUGUAGCAAGCUGUCCAAUCUGAUUCUCCAAGUUUCUUAAAGAUAUGGCUUGACUUUGGACUACUACUUCAUUCUUCACAAUAUACUCCAUAAUUAGAGUUUCAAAGGAACUAAAUUGAUCAUUACUGGUGUUUAUUUUCCCUUAAAAUUGCUGAUGAAAUCCAAGUGGCUAAGCAGGUCUGUUAUGUCCAUUAGAUGUUGCAACAUGCUGAUUCUGAUUGCUCCAUGAAAAGUUUGGGUGCUGUCUCCAUUCAGGAUUAUAGAUGUUUGAAAAUGGAUUGGUUUGAUUUUGUCUAUUGAAAUUGCCCGCAUAAUUGACUAAGCUGGAUUUCCAGGACAACUAUCAUAUAGAUGUCCCUCUCCACAAUAAACACAAGAGACUUCAGCAACUUGGUUAGUUGUUGCUGGAGCAGUGGUCGUUGAUUUUACCAUAUUUGUUAAUGAGGUUACUUGGGCUGAUAAUGAUGUCAGUGCAUCCACAUUGUGUACUCCAGUUACUCCUCUUAUUGCGGCUUGUCUAAUUAAUGGCCAUUAAUAGUUAUUGUUGGCUAUCUUUUUCAAAAUUUCAUAAGCCUCAUUGUAUUACUUAGACAACAAGGCCCCUAGUGUUUGAGUUCAACCCAUUGUAGAUAGUUUCCAAUUGUACACAACAAGGAAUACCAUGAUGAAGGCAUCUCCUGGGUAACUCCUUGAAUCUUUCCCAUGCAUCAUACAAGCUUUCAUCUUCAAGUUGAUGGAAAGAUGUGAUCUCAUUCCUCAACUUUACAUUCUUUGUCGGUGGGAAAUAUUUCAUCAAAAAUUUGUCAGCCAAAUCAUUCCAUGUGGUGAUGGAGUCUAGUGGCAAAGAAUUCAACCAUGCCCUUGCUUGAUCUCUUAAAGAAUACGGGAAAAUUUUGAGUCUCAAUGCAUCUUGUGAUGCUCCAGCAAUUUUAAAAGCAUCACUUACCUCCAAGAAUAGUUUAAGGUGAAGAUGAAGAUCUUCUUAUGGCAAUUCAUUGAAUUGCCCCACUGUUUGUAAUAUCUAAAACAUCACUGGUUUGAGCUCGAAAUUGACAACUUGCAUUUCAGGUCUAACUAUUCCAGGAUGUAUAACUUGAGGGGUCAACACGGCAUAGUCUCUAAUGGCUCUGUCUCUAUCAUCUGUCAUGUAGAUAAUAUUGUUGUUCCCUGGUUGUCCCCAAAUAUUCUGCUCAUUAUGGCUUUCUUGGUCAUUAACUGGUUAUAUUUCUCUGUGAGGGUUCAAGUUCCUCAUAUCUUGCAAAUCGUCCAUUACUACAGCAGCUUUUGAAUGCUUAUUCUCUUUCCUCAAUCUCCUUACAAUUCUUUCAAUCUCUGGAUCAAAUUGGAAUUCAACAUGUUUGUAUUUGCGCAUGCAAGGGUUGGUAGAGCUCUUCUACAAACACAUUAAAAAAAAAGAAAAUUAAAAUCUUGCAUCAACUAAAAUUGAUUUCACAAAACACAAUAAGCACCAAUCCCCGGCAACGACGCUAAAAACUUAUUGUAGGUUUUCUAAUGCUAUUAGUGUCAAUGUGCAAGUGCACAUAACAAGUAAUAUAAUGAUAAAUAUUCUAGAUUGUCUCCACAAGGAUUAUUGUUAUAGGAAUUGCUACAACAAUUUUAUCAGUGCAAUUUUUAUUCUAAAUUAGAAUUAAAAUAAAUUAUUAAAUUAAUGAACUAAUUAAGAUAAAAAUGCAAUAAGAAAAAUACAAUAACAUAAAUUAUCACAGCAAAUAUAAGGAUGUAACCAAGGGGAAUGGAGUAGUUGAGUAAUUAAACUCACUUAAUGGUUUUGAUUAUUUUUCUAAUGUUUGGUUCGAUUACUACAACAUCUUCUACAGCACUGGGAAGAAUCCUUAUGUAUCCUCAAUUGUCGCAUGUUGGAUGUCUUAUACCUAAAAACAACUUAACAAUGACCAAUUGUUAUGCUAACAUUAGAUAUAGCAUUACACGUUUUAGAUUCGAAUUACCCUACAAGGUGAAUCCUUAUAUCUAGUUCAUCACUAAUUUUAGAUUACGCAUGACCUUUUUUUAAUCAGGUUAAACCCAAUUCAGGAAACCCAAUCUAAACCCAACUUAGGAAACCUAAUCUAAACCAAGUAUUGUUAUGAUAUGUUCCACUAAGACAGGUCUUUAUAGGCUCUAUCUUAGCUAAUAUCACUAAAUGGGUGGUCAGCCAAAAUAGUGAAUUGAAAUAAGUAUUAUUAAAACAACGUACUAUAGCAAACAUGCCCCAAUAUAGUAUAUCAGUCAAUUAACUAUCAAGUUUGCUCAUCGCUCAACCACGAGUAAAUUUAGUUCAUAAUUUGCAAUAAAACAAUAAUCAAAAUAGUUUUAGCCAUCAAAUAAUCCAUCAUAACAAGAUAAAAGUAAGAGAACAAAAAAUAAGAGUUGAGAUCUGUUUGAUGUUCUUCUAGAAUUCUUUGUUGCCGUCUUCGAUUCUCUCUCUUGAUAUUUGUUUUAUCUUGUUUUGUUUCUCUAUUGUUUCUCUCAAAUGACGGUCUCUCCUUUUUCUUUGCGUUUGUACUUCUUUUAUAUCUUAGCAUCAGGGCAACCGGAAGCCUAGGGUGCGCAUAUUCUAGUUUAGGAAACUCAAGAUCGCAAUCUUCCAAGUAUUAUAAGCGAAAUCUUUUCUGCCAUUGUUCCAGGAUUGCUACAGGAACAAUGCUACAGCAAUGGCUUCAGCACCUGCACUGUUCCAGAAUUGUUUCAAUUCUUAUAUAACCAUAUUCUUUCUUUAUCUUUGCAAGCCUAUUGCAGCAGCAUUCCUCCCUUGAAAUUUGAGCUUCCGGUCACCUAUAAUUAUAUUAUGAUCUAAGCACAAAAAUUAUUCUGAAACAAUGCAAUUUAUUAAAAUAAACUAUGGAUAUUCAUACAAAAUAUAACUAAAAUGCAAUAAAAAUAUGCCAUUUACUCUCUAAGUAAUCUUGAUUUAAGUCUAAAAAUGUCAUGAAAACUUUCAUUUCACAGAGUUAUCAGCAGCAAAAGGGUUAAUCCAACUAUUGAUUUAGAUCAAGUCUAUAAUGACAAUAACCCCUAACUAUUUGAGCUUAAAGCUCUUGCCAGCAAAUGGGCAAUUGGGAUGAAAGUCCUCUAUAAACAACUUGAAUAGAUAAGUAAAGAAAAAAAAAUGUGGCUUCACUAAGUCAAAACAAAACAUAUAAUCUAUUCAUUCAGUAAAAAAGAAAACAUUUUAGCCAAGCAAGCCAUCUUGAAAAAGAAAAAGGCAAUAUAUGAGAAUCUCGUGGAAUCCAACCUGCCAACACACAGUGGGAUAUGCAAGGUGCUUAAUCAUCAAUCAGAUUCUGGCUUUUGCUAUAAAAAAAAAAUCAAAAGAAUAAUCUAGUAAGGAAGACAUGCCGCUAGAUGAAGAGCUCAUAAUUAACACGUGACAGGAGGCCACUAAAAAGAUAAAGAUGCCAACUAGAAGCAUUAAUAUUUCAGAAAGAAUCCAAAGUAAAGGAUAAGACUUAUCGAAAUCCUUACCUCAACCAUGUGAAGACUAUCAACCAUUAGAAAAAGAAGACAAAAGUUGCCCUUAAUAAUGCAAGAAGAAGGGGUUACCUUAUCUCUGGGAAAUCUAUCAGGCAACAAGUGUCAUGUAAAAAGAUAUAAUCUUAUCUCUAAAAUCUAUAUGUGUAAGAAAGGAUUAUCUUAUCUAUCUAAAUCUAUAAAUAAAGUCACGUAAGAUAGAAGAGGUAUCACUCACGAGCAUUCUCUUAUUCUCAUCUGUAUUCUCUCUUUAAAUUCAAAAAUUAAAUAAAAAAAUUGUUUUUGAGUGAAAUUAUUAUCUUUAUAUAACUUAUUUAGAUUUUAGAAAAAAAAAAUCAAGAAUAUACAUGCCAACACUUGUGCUAAAUAAAGAAGAUUUCAUAUUACUAAGCACUCUUCUAUAUCAAUUACAACAGAUUCACUUAGGCAUAUCUUACUGGCUUAGUCUGCAAUGUGUUGCUUUAGGCCGUGUGGAAUAGUUGUGGGAUUGAUCUUGCAUGAUGUGUGGAGCUAUAACAGUGCUGAGCAUGGGCCAAUUUAUAGGCUCAUGGAACUAGCAAAAUUAUUCUAGAAUUUUGAGGAUUGUACUCUAGUUAGUACUCUAAAUUAUCUUAUUAUAUUUUGCACAAAUAAAUGAUAUAGAGUGAUAAUAGCAACUCAAUUUUCAUAAAACAUGGAAAGAUGAGUCGCCAAAUUUCUAGAUGCCAUAGAUAAUCUAGACUUUAGUAAGGAAUAUCAAGUUAUUUAUACAAUGAAAAUUGUUAAAUCUCGAUUAAUUGCAAGGAAGCACUUGUAGAGAGAUAUAGAGAGAAUAAACUAUUAGCCUAAAAGGGCUACACAUAUUGUAAUUUUGAUGAUAACAAACAUGUGUCUUAAGUGAUUUGAUAAAUAUUGUAUAUCACAUUUUCAUUAGUUCUUGAAAGAUAAUAUUUAUGAUGAAGUGAAUCACGAAAAAUCAAGCUCAAGACACUCAACGGACAACGGCGUGAUCAAGAAUAAAGUUUAGAGUUCAACGGAAUCAUUAUUGCGACAAUUCUUGUAAAGCCGGUAUGAUUUAAAAUAUGAAUGAUUUAGCAUUUAAAAAGCUCAAGAUUUUGUUUAAUAAAUCAUUAUUUUUUCAUAAAUCAAAAGUUUUACAAGUAUAAGCUAAGUAUUUUAUGAAAUUAGUUAUUUUUCAAGAUGUGGACUAAAAUGAAAAUUUUUUACAAUCUUUGAUUUUAAAAAGUAUUGUUUUGAAUUCCAGAGUUUGACUUAUUUGCAAACAUUUAAAACUUUUUAGGUCAUACUAUAAUUUAUGAACGUUUGAGGACCCGAAGUGAAAAUAUCCAAAAAUUUGAUAAAGAGUUAGCGGCUAAUCGCCUGAGGGCUAGCGGCUAGCUGCCUAAGGAAAAUCUCAUAUUUUCAAAUUUUGGACUAAAUUAAAAGAUUUUGAGAACUUUGAAAUUUAUAAGUAUUAUGUUAAAUUUUGAAAAAAAUUAUUAAACUUUGGACCAUAUCAUAAUUUCAAAAAGUUUUUAGAAUAACAAGUAUUAUUUUAAAAUUCAAAAGUUGGACCUGUUUGUAAAGUGUUAUAACGUUUUGGGCCAUAGUAUAAUUACAUAAAGUUUUGGGCACAAAUGUAACUUUAUUGUUCUGAAGCAACGAGCCGGAUAAAUUAAGUGGCUAGUCACUUGUUUGCUGGAAUUUACCCAUAACGGCUAAUUUUCAAGCUUUAUCUAUAAAAACUCAACUCCAACUUCAAUUUGGAGACUUUUGCAAGCAUAAACAAGUGCAUAAAAUAUAUAUUGAGCUUUUAUUUCGCAAAUCAUCUUAUAUUGAAUCAUCAUUGUGCUAUUAUUUGUAGAUCUACUCUAAAAGAGAGUUUUUUUUGUUGUAUUAUUCAUUUUUCUCAUCAAAUUUGUAAGUGUAUAAGUGUGAGAAACACUUAUGUGAAGAGAUUGAGAGAUAAUCUCUUGGUUGUAAAGGUUUAUUGACAUCUUGAAAGUCAAAUGUAAUGAACUUGAAGCCUUGGGAAACUUGAAUAGUGAAAUCCUUAAGGUUGGUUGGCUUGGAGGCAUGGACGUAGGCGGGGAUUGCGGAACCACGUAAAAAUUAUUGUGUUUGCUCUAUUUUCCCUUACUCUUCUAUUAUUGUACUUUAUUGAAUUUUUUAUUUUUUAUUUGAUUAAGACAAUAGAUUGAAUUGUUGUGCGAAUUGUUUAGCGUAAGUUUUAAAAUCUCAAUUCACCUCCCCCCCCCCUCUUGGAUUGCAUAACUUGCAUUUCAUAAACUUUAAAGAUAAUAAUUAAAUAUACGACAGCUUUAAGGAAGAAAAUAGAAUAGUAUUAAUAGAAUCUAUUUUAACCGGUCUUGAAAUAAUUCAAGACAGAUGCAAAAUAAAUAACAGGACUCUAAACCGUCCAUAAUAAGUCUAUUGAUGAAUAAAAACAAUAAUAGUGAUGUGAAUAUAUUCGGAUUUUAUAGAUUUUUAUGAAUUUGAUAACCAUUUAGAUCUUUAUAAAAUUAUAAUAAAACUUUAAAAAGCUUUAAAAAUAUAUGUAGAAAAGAUGGAAGAAGAAAUCAUCCAUUUAUUCAAAAUCAAUUAAACAAAAAUAAAAGGUAAAAUACUUGAGUUAUAUCAAUUAUACAAUUUCACAAAAAUUUUACAUAGAUUGCAAAAAGGUCCUUGUGGCACUACAGCAGGUUUCAUAAAUUUUUUACAUACAAAUUUUAUGUUUUAAAAUAUGAAUUUUUUUUUGUAUUUAAUACUUUGUUCAACUAUAUGUACAGGUCCUCAACGUGUUGGUUGAUGUUGAAUAUUCAAAGAUCCACAAGCUAUCAAUGACAACGACUCAAAUUAAACUAAUUCGUUAAUACAUAAUAACUGGGUUGUUUCCUAUGCUUGUUAAUGAUGUAGGACGUUGUUUUAGAAUUUUAGAAUUUUAAUUUUUUAGGUCUUCUGAUAUUUUCUUUUUUAAUUAAAGUUAGUGUCUUAGUCUUUUAUUUCUAUUGUAAUUAUGAUUUACUUUCCCUUUUUAAGUUAACUUAUAAAAGUAGAUUUACUCUAUUAUAAAUAAAGAGAUCUUGUUAUCGCUUUUAUAACUUCAACUUCAGUUAUUAAAUUAAAAACCCCUCUUUUAUAAUUUCCUUUGGUAUUAUCUAUUAAAAAUUCCUCUUUUAGAGUUGUUUGAUUAGAGUAUCAUUUAGCCUAUCUUAACACAGUAUUAAAAAUCCCAUUGAGUUUAAUCAUACUUCGAUUUGAGCGUAAUUAAUAGCAUUGAUUUGGUCCAGUACUUGAACGAUAUCUAGUGUUUUGCUUCUGCUACGCCCAAGGAGAAAAUGAAUUUCACCGUGAGAUAAGAGCAUUAAAAGGAAUUCAUAAGAAAUUUAAAUUAAAUUAGCUACGAAGUGAAAAUAAAUAAAUAAAUAAAUGAAUAUGAAGUUGAAAAUAAGUCUCGCCGCCUGGAUCCAAGGCCAAAACAUUCAUGAUAAGUUAGGUAAUUAAGUACAUGUUUUCAAGCUCUUCAUGAAGAAUAAUGUUAUUGAAAUAAAUCACAAAGACUCCCUGCGCAAAUUAUUACAUUGAUUAAAAAAAAAAUGCCAUAUCUUUAACAGGAUCGUGGCUCUCGGACUGUUAAUUACUUUAUUCCCUGCUUGGCCAACAGCUGGCCACUAAACAAAAUCAUAAAAAUUUUAAAUUUAGUCAAAUUGGUCCCACUUGAUGUCAUCCUUUUCAUACAUAAAAUUGUUUAACGUCAAGGUUAAAUAUGAGAAGUUUGGUAGAGACGGUAAAAAGGAAGUCUAUAUAAGGAGGGGAACGAGCUUUGUUUAUAGCACAAGUGAAACUCCACUUUAUUGAACGAUAGGGUCUCAAAUGGGCUGCCUCUUUGCCACUCUUUUGGUAGUAUCAGUCUCUCUUAGCUACUUGCCGUUAGAAGCCUCCGCAAACAAAUACUACUACACAUCUCCUCCCCCUCCCAAGUACAAGUCUCCACCCCCCCCGCCACCGGUUCACAAUUCUCCACCACCACCCCCGGUUUACAUGCCCCCGCCACCUCCUCCACCAGUCUACGUGCCUGCUCCGGCACCAACUCCAAUUUCCUAUUCCCCGCCACCUCCUGUCCCCAAGUCCCCACCACCACCUCACCCUUACGUCUAUGCAUCUCCCCCUCCUCCUUACUACUACUAGAAAGCGGCCAUGAAUAGCUCAUGCUUUUAUGGUAAUCUCAUUUAUUUUUAAAACU